rnacentral:lncRNA from 1 species
UAUUAAAUUAAGUAUUAAUUAGGUGUUAGUCUAGUGCCGUAUCCCUUACUAUCUUACCCUUCCUUUGCAUCCCACUCAAAAAAAGAGGGCGCUCCGGAGGCAGAAAUAGAACUCGCCAACAGAGCUCCAAAAAUGGGGUAUUAACUGAGACAAACAACGGGCAAACUUUUUUUAAAGGGAAGAGAGAGGUAGACUGUCCCUUUCGUUUCAUUUUUAUUUUCUGCAGGGUAGGGAGAAGCCUUGCGCCUUCUUUUUUUGAAGGCAAGUGACUUCGCAAACUGCUCAAUUUUGCCCUCUAGGGCCGGGAACUAAUGAAUAAAAAAGGGUUGGAUACGCCCCUCUACCAUAUCUAGAGAAAUAGAAUAGUCCUUUUAUAUAGACUGCUAAGUGCGGAGACGGGAAUCGAACCCGUGACCUCAAGGUUAUGAGCCUCGUGAGCUACCAAACUGCUCUACUCCGCUCUGGAGUACCAGAAACUAGUGGACAAAAAAGGCUUGAAUACAAGCCUCUAACAUGUCUAGACAAAGAGAAUACUCCUUUUAUACAGAAUGGAGCGGGUAGCGGGAAUCGAACCCGCAUCGUUAACUUGGAAGGCUAGGGGUUAUAGUCGACGUUGGUUGAUUGUUUUUAACGUCUCUAAUUCAAAACCGAACAUGAAAUUUUGAUUUCAUUCGGCUCCUUUAUGGAUAUUCUCACCACUUAACAUCUAUGUCAGCUUUUCUAUUUGAAUGGAACCAAAGCUCUCCGCUUUCUAGAUGAUCCUUAUAGAGUAGGAGAUAGAAAUUCUAUCUAAAUCCAUCUAAUCUACUUACUUCAUUCCCUAAUUUCAUUCAAGAGAUCCUGAGGAAAAGAAUUGGGUUUCCACCCAGCUGAAACAAUAUGCGGAUGGUUCUAGUAAACCAAAACUAUCAUUUUUUAGCUAUUUGGCUUCCUUAUUCCUUAUUUUAAGAAGAUAUAGUUACGAUUGGAAAUCAACUUUUUUGUAUCUUCAUCCAUAGACCCUUUACUCAUAUUUUCAAAAUUGGAAUACUUAAUCCAAUGCAAAAUUAUGCUUCGCGACUCUGUACUCAUAAUCCUAAUUUUAUUUUGGAUGCAAUUUAAAUUAGUCUUUGGAUACAAAUCGCCAGAAUGUAUAUUCUUCCUCAAUAUGCUAUUGAGAGGAAAAUGAUUUAAUCCUUUAUAAGAACUAAAGUUUUUAUCGGAAUAUAAAAAUAAAAAACUUAAGGAUGCCUUAAGUAUAUCAUUUCAAAUUCAGUUAUUAUAUAGAACGAAUCACACUUUUACCACUAAACUAUACCCGCUACAUUGUAGAUUAUGGUAUAAAUGGUACCCUUUGUCAAGGAUAGCCAUUUGACAAGAAGGCUAAUUCCCCCUUAUUGAAUCAGAUGGAGAAGGUUCAUGACACUGAGCCGUUGGUACUUCUACUUCGAUCGCUCGCCUUUACUUUAGGAUUUAGAUAGCCCCUCUGGUUUGUAAAAAAAAUCUUUUCUUACCAUGCUAAUAGCGCCUGAACCAAAUGUAUUUAUUUUGAUUAGGAUCCUAUUCUACGGUUACGACUACAAUAAUAAUUAUUUACUUUGCAAGGACGUAAGUGUGUCAGACUGCUAAAUUGUUUUAUUAUUCCUACAAUAUAAACUAGGGGAUAUAGGGGGUAACACUGUCCCUAUAAAUUCCUUUUUCCUUUUAUUUUUUGUCCAGAAUUGAACAAAAAAGAAAUUAUGGAAGAUGUUUUCUUCCCCCAUUAAGUCCAAGCCAUAGAGUAAGAGUGAGAUGAGUUUUCCAAAUUCAUCAUAGACUUUCCCUAUGGCUUGAUAGAAGUAAGCAGCAAAGAGUCGUAACUUAAAGAAAAAACGGACAGGGCCGACAGAUUUACCUGAUGUAAAGAAGAUCCUAAAAGUCUCUGAUUAGUCGACUCUCUCCAUUUAACACUUUCCUCUCUCUCCUUUUUUCCACUGACUCAAUUCUAGUUUAUUAGAUUCUUGUUUAAAAGAAUGAGAAAAGUUCAAUAGAACUAAGAACACAUAAAAAAUAGCAUAGAGGAUCAAGGCCAUUACCAAAAGUUCCUCCCAAGGAUCCUAUAUCCUAUUGGGUAUCUGUUCCCCGCCUUUUCCCGCUAGGAUCGGAAAUCUUAUAUUUUCCAUAUCCAUAUACCGUUGAAUCCUUGGGGUUCCAGAAUCCACCUAUUUUACUAGUCUUCGGAAACGGAAAACCCUGAACCAAGAAGAGUUGGAUAUGUUAUGUAGGGUAUGUUUUUUUUAUUAAUUUUAUUUUGAGCUCUCAAGAUAUCGAUAUAUACAUAUACAAUCUCUACAUAAUGUCUCUCUCUCUCUAUCUCUAUAUAUUAUAUAUAUAAUAUGUACAUUAUGCAGUAGACCCGUAAUGGGAAAUCCAAGUGGCUAAUUUUUGAAUUAAAUAAAAAGCCCUUUUAACUCACUGGUAGAGUAAUGCCAUGGUAAGGCAUAAGUCAUCGGUUCAAAUCCGAUAAAGGGCUUUUUAAAUUAGUGGUAGAGUAAUCUCGUGCUAAGACGUAAGUCGUUGGUUCGAAUCUGAUAGAGUACUUUUCUACUAAAUUGAUUCACUUUUGUUCUUUGUUUUUGAAACUUUCUCUAUAGUUUUAGAGAAUUUUAUGACUUAGUGCGGGAUGGAUGCAUUUUUGGUCUGAACACUAAAUGAAGCACGGAGAAUUAAUCUAUAACGAUCAACUAAAAAAAAAUCCUAGAUGAAAACAUAACAGAAAAGUUGGAAAAACUCUUUGCUUUGGAUCUAUUUAUACUUUUCGAGUAUAUUGACAAUUCCAAAAAAUUGCUCAUACUAUGAUUAUAGUAUAAUCACGAGUGGUUGUAUAUGGCCCUAUCGUCUAGUGAUGCCCCUAUCGUCUAGUGGUUCAGGACAUCUCUCUUUCAAGGAGGCAGCGGGGAUUCGACUUCCCCUGGGGGUAGGGAGUAUUAUGAAAGGAGGUUAAUCAUAGAUUAGCAAAAACCCUAGAAUAAAUUCUUCCUGGGUCGAUGCCCGAGUGGUUAAUGGGGACGGACUGUAAAUUCGUUGACAAUGUCUACGCUGGUUCAAAUCCAGCUCGGCCCAAACCAAAAAUCUAGGGCUUCGUGAGUAUGAACUAAAUCCUUUUGUUUUUCUUCCAUAAAAUAAAAUGUCUGAUCUAUAGAAAUAAAAGAUAAAGAAAAAAGGGAAUUUUUUUUUCUAAUCCAUAUCUCUCUCAUUCCUUUCUUACAAACAAAAGAGUUUUUCUUAUUGAAGGCUGGAUUAUUAUCCAUUUUUAGUGAUAAAAAAUCACGACAUACUAGUUAUGUCACUCUCACUAUACCCACAUAUAAUAUAAUAUGUGGGUAUGUAGUAUAUGAUUCGUCUAUUUCUUAGAGUACGAAAGACGAAUCGAAUCUUCUUAUGGUUCUAUUUAAGAAUGGGUAUGCCAUACACCCCGCGGGGAUUGUAGUUCAAUUGGUCAGAGCACCGCCCUGUCAAGGCGGAAGCUGCGGGUUCGAGCCCCGUCAGUCCCGAACUAGGGUUCAAUGAAUGGAGAAAUUGAUAUUUCCUUUUUCCACGAAAAAAGGGGCAGGGAGCAAGAUCAAAUACCCACAGGGCACCCUUACUUCACUUUUUUAUUUUGCGUCCCUCAUUAAAGAGGAAGGGAAGGCAUAUAGGAAUUUUUUUCACUACUCCCGAUCGAUAAAGAUAAAGAAAGACACACAUACGAUAUGUGGAUUAGUAGAAUUUAGGAUAUUAUAUUACUCUAUCUUUCUUUAUGAUGAUACCAUCCUCAUCUUAAUUUCCUAUUCCACUCUUAUGGAAUAGAGUACCGGUAUUUUACCGGAAUCCAUACAUAAAUCGUAUUCCCUUUUUAUUUCAGACCUCUUUUCCCCAUCUCACUUCUACUGCUUAUUUGGAUGUCUAUGUGACCCAUAGAAAGUUGGUCAUAUAAUACAUACAUAAUUGUAUGUAUAACUAUAAGAAAAAGGAAGGGAAAUUGUAUACGAUUAAGAAAGUAUAAGAUUAAGAAAGCUCGUGGGUUAGAGAUAUAGAAAAGAAAAAGUAGAAAAGAAUUAAAAAAGAGGGAAUUCCUAAUCCAAUCAAAAAACCCAUUUUGGUCUUAGUGUGGAUAGAGGAUCUUCCUAUGUUAUACUAUAUAACUCUCAUCCGUGAAAUGUAACUCUCAUCCAUGAAUUGAUUUGAUAGAUCCGAUAUUCAUAAUAUUGAAUUGAUUCGGUAUUAUCAGAAUGCAAGCCCUACCCUUGAAUUUACAAGAUACCCCUUUUUCCUCUCCAUGGGAUUACAUCCCGAGUUAUUGUGAAAAUAAAAAAUAAAGAGGUUAUGGAAGUCAAUAUUCUCGCAUUUAUUGCUACUGCACUAUUCAUUCUAGUUCCUACUUCUUUUUUACUUAUUAUUUAUGUAAAAACAGUCAGCCAAAAUAAUUAAUUGGAAUUCCAAUUAAUCAUUGAAGAAAUUAAAAAGGGAUUAAAUAAAAAAAUCCAAGUCUUAAAUGAAAGGAUCUGGUUGGAAUCUUAAAGUGUGGUAGAAAGAACUACAUAUAGUUUUUUCUACGACACUUUAGAUUCUUUCUAUUAUAUUAUCUUUGAAUCUACAUAGAAUAGAUUAGUAGAUUGAAAUAGUUAACUAGUCUAAUUCAAUUUCUUUUUUCAUUGCAUCCACUUAAUUUCAAUCAGGUCAAAAUAAAAAAAAUCUAAGACAAUUCUUGACCAAAGAAUCCAUGGAAGGAAAGAAAAAUAAUAUUAAGAAUAGACUAUAGUAAAAAGUAAAAGGAAAUGGAAAAUGUGUGAUAUGCCGUGAAUAGUUCCGUGGAAGAAAGUCUAAUUUUCUUAUGUAUAGAACUUUUUUUAACCAUUCGUCAUUUCUAGUAGAAAUUAUGAAUUGGUAUAAUGGCUCUUUCUUACAUUACAACUUACAAUACAAGAGUUUCUUACAGGAGUGAAACAAAACUUAAGAAAAAGAUUAAAGAAUAACGUUUGACAAAAUGAUUAAUGCAAAAUGAUCCAUUAAUGAAAAGAAUUGAUACAACAAUUUGAUUACUUAAUCAAUUAGUAGUAUCCCUAGAGUCCACUCCUUCCCCAUACUACUAGUGAAAGAGAAAAUGUAAAGACUACCAUUAAAGCAGCCCAAGCGAGACUUACUAUAUCCAUCUAAAUUAUGUCUCCUAUUUCUAUGAAGGGAUUAUUCUAUUCUACUAUUGAUCAAUAAUCAUAGUGGAAUCAAGGGUAUAGAGUCAAAAAGGGAUUCCGCCCUAAGGCCAUGGAUCAAUCAGUUCAAGGAAUUUACUCCUAACAAAUUCUUAUAGGAAUUCUGGUAGAAUUAGAGAGCAUUAAAAAUACGAUACUAUAGCCCUUUUUUCCUUAAAAAAGAAAGAGUAUGGGAAUGAUGUCCUGAAUAGAAGAAGCGGGAAUAGGAAGAUUUUUUAUUCCUUUUGUUACUCUUUUUUUUAAGCAAAGGACGCCCGAAUAUACCAUAAAAUUAUCGAUAGAUAAAUAUUUAUUGGAUACCUACCUUACCUAAUGUUUAUUUUUGACCUAAACCCUGCAGCCUUGCUUUGUAUCAUUCUAUGAAAGAAUGAAGAGGAAGAGAUUUUAUCCAUAACACAACUCCUAAAUUGAUUUUUGAUCGACCUAUUUAAUCGGAUUCUCGUUAGAAUUAAGUAGUCCUUACUUUAGUGUAUGUAGGUAACAUAAGAUGUACGAUAAAAAAAUGUAUAAUAAUUAGUAAGUCUUGAUAUUCUUUCAUGGAGUCCCUUCUUGAAUCUUAGAUUGAAAAAAAAGAAUGCCCCUUAGGGACCUUUCUUUGGAUACCAAGAUUUCUGACAUCUUAUCCUCGUAUUUUAAAAUUAUCAAAUCGAAUCUCAAUUAAGAACCAAUUCAAAUUCAUAUAAUAAAAGAAUAAGGAAACACUACCUCACCCCUAUUGAUAACCAUUUUGGCCACUACCGUCAAAACAAACCCUAACCCUAGUUUGAGGAUAGAACUAUGGUAUGGUUUCUCUAAACCCAGUAUCGGCAGGCCCAGUUACUCUCUUGCCCGAACUUAUGCGAAGUAAAAAUUGAUCGAAUUCGAUCAGCACUAUAAAAAAACCUAAGUAUUUUAUUGAUCAGGCGGCACCCAGAUUUGAACUGGGGAUAAAGGAUUUGCAGUCCCCUGCCUUACCGCUUGGCCAUGCCGCCAAAAAAUCCGAUCAAAAAUCUAGAAAACAGCAAGUAUUCAUCCAUGUUUUCUUACGAAAAGCCCCUUUUAUUUUGAAUAUAAUUCUACUUACUUUUUUCCAAUCUUUUUCAAAAAAUCUAUUCCUGCUUUUUUUGAUCCAGUUUCUAUUAUUCUCCUCGAUAGAUUCUAUCUUAAAACAUACAGUGUUAACACAAUAAAACUUCCCAUUUCUUUCUAUUGAGAUGAAAAAGAAGAAAAAGUGGAUUUCUAUUCACAAGCUGCAAAAUUCAGAAUAAAUUGGAACCAUUAACUAGAAUUCUCUUUUUUUAUUGCAGUAGUGAACUACUCUUAAAUCGGUAUUCUCUCCCCCCUUCAAUGGCAUAAUAAAAUAUUAUGACUUUAUGCUUAAUCCGUGUAUAGGUAAACUUUAGGUCCGAACAGCAUUAUUAUCCAAAGAUCCCCUUUAUGUACAUAUCUCUAUGGGGAAUCAUGCUUUAAUUUUUCAAAGUAUUAAAUUAAAUAUCUUGAAUAAAAAAAGGAAAUUUGCUCUGAUAUAGAGUAUAACCUUACUAUCUUGGCCUACCCAAGUGAAAUUACGAUAAAAGAAAAGCAUGGAUAUGGGGAGAGGUGGAUAACUAGAUUGGCAUGUACUUAAAAAAGGGACUUACUUGAUUUUAGAAUUCCACAAUGAAAUACUGAAUUUUCUAGCAAUUAUACUACUCCGAUCCGAAAUAAAAAAGAACCCUCAAAUUAUUUUGAGAAAUUAAAGUAAGCACGCUAUUCUAAAUCGAAGUAAAGUCAAACUUUCUAGUAUAUUAUAUUACGGCUUUAUUACAUUCAUAGAAAGGAGAUAAAAUGAGAAAUCUUUGCCAUCCAAUCUGAUUAGAAUAUCAUAACAUAAAGUAUAAGUGGCAGAAUUUUUUUUAGGAAUGUUUUAUCAAUUCAUUUUCAUUUCAUUUGUACCCCUGGCAAACUCGAACUUUUGUCCAAAUGGUCUCUAUUCAUAUGUAUGAAAUACAUAUAUGAAAUACGUAUGUGGAGUUCCCUAGAAUUUCAUGUGAUUCAGUAAACAGAAUAUAGAUUCCAUGAUUGCUAGAUCGAUCUAGAGGGAUUGAUGAAGAGUGAGCUGAUAAUGGAAUUUUUCUUUGAUAAACAGGAAACUUAAGAUUAAGAUGCUCCGGAAUGGAAACGAGGGAAUGUCCACAAUACCCGGAUUUAGUCAGAUCCAAUUCGAGGGAUUUUGUAGGUUCAUUAAUCAAGCCUUAGCAGAAGAACUUGACAAGUUUCCAACAAUUAAAGAUCCAGAUCACGAAAUUGCAUUUCAAUUAUUUGCGAAAGGAUAUCAAUUGCUAGAACCCUCGAUAAAAGAAAGAGAUGCUGUGUAUGAAUCACUCACCUAUUCUUCCGAAUUAUAUGUAUCUGCGAGAUUAAUUUUUGGUUUCGAUGUGCAAAAGCAAACCAUUUCUAUCGGAAACAUUCCUAUAAUGAAUUCCUUAGGAACCUUUAUUAUAAAUGGAAUAUACCGAAUUGUGAUCAAUCAAAUAUUGCUAAGUCCUGGUAUUUACUAUCGCUCGGAAUUAGAUCAUAAGGGAAUUUCUAUCUACAUUGGCACUAUAAUAUCAGAUUGGGGGGGGGAGAUCGGAAUUAGCAAUUGAUAAAAAAGAAAGGAUAUGGGCUCGCGUGAGUAGAAAACAAAAGAUAUCUAUUCUAGUUCUAUCAUCAGCUAUGGGUUCGAAUCUAAGAGAAAUUCUAGAUAAUGUUUCCUACCCUGAAAUUUUCUUGUCUUUCCCGAAUGCUAAGGAGAAGAAGAGGAUUGAGUCAAAAGAAAAAGCUAUUUUGGAGUUUUAUCAACAAUUUGCUUGUGUAGGUGGGGACCUGGUAUUUUCGGAGUCCUUAUGCGAGGAAUUACAAAAGAAAUUUUUUCAACAAAAAUGUGAAUUAGGAAGGAUUGGUCGACGAAAUAUGAAUCGAAGACUUAAUCUUGAUAUACCUCAGAACAAUACAUUCUUGUUACCACGAGAUGUAUUGGCCGCUACGGAUCAUUUGAUUGGAAUGAAAUUUGGAACGGGUAUACUUGACGAUGACGAUAUGAAUCAAUUUACAACAUGCAGUUCAAAAAACUAUUCGUAGAGUAUUCAUACGUCAAUCGAAACCGACUCCCCAAACUUUGGUAACUCCAACUUCAACUUCAAUUUUAUUAAUAACUACUUAUGAGACCUUUUUUGGCACAUAACUGUUAUCUCAAGUUUUUGAUCAAACGAAUCCAUUGACACAAACUGUUCAUGGGCGAAAAGUGAGUUGUUUAGGUCCUGGAGGGUUGACGGGGAGAACCACAAGUUUUCGGAGCCGAGAUAUUCAUCCGAGUCACUAUGGGCGUAUUUUUCCAAUUGACACGUCUGAAGGAAUCAAUGUUGGACUUACUGGAUCCUUAGCAAUUCAUGCGAGAAUUGAUCACUUGUGGGGAUCCAUAGAGAGUCCGUUUUAUGAAAUAUCUGCUGAGAAAGCAAAAGAUAAAAAAGUGAGACAGGUGGUUUAUCUAUCACCAAAUAGAGAUGAAUAUUAUAUGAUAGCAGCGGGAAAUUCUUUGUCCUUGAAUCAAGGUAUUCAGGAAGAACAGGUUGUUCCGGCUAGAUACCGUCAAGAAUUCUUGACUAUUGCAUGGGAACAGAUUCAUGUUAGAAGUAUUUUUCCUUUCCAAUAUUUUUCUAUUGGGGGUUCUCUCAUUCCUUUUAUUGAGCACAAUGAUGCGAAUCGGGCUUUAAUGAGUUCUAAUAUGCAGCGCCAAGCAGUUCCGCUUUCUCGGUCCGAGAAAUGCAUUGUUGGAACUGGAUUGGAACGCCAACAGCUCUAGAUUCGAGGGUUUCCAUUAUAGCCGAACGCGAGGGAAAGAUCAUUUCUACGGAUAGUCAUAAGAUACUUUUAUCAAGUAGUGGGAAGACUAUAAGUAUUCCUUUAGUUAACCUCCGUCGCUCUAACAAAAAUACUUGUAUGCACCAAAAACCCCGGGUUCCACGGGGUCAAUCCAUUAAAAAAGGACAAAUUUUAGCAGAAGGAGCUGCUACAGUUGGGGGCGAACUUGCUUUAGGAAAAAACGUAUUAGUAGCUUAUAUGCCAUGGGAAGGUUAAAAUUUUGAAGACGCAGUACUAAUUAGCGAACGUUUGGUAUAUGAAGAUAUUUAUACCUCUUUUCACAUCCGGAAAUAUGAAAUUUAGACGGAUACGACAAGCCAGGGCUCCGCUGAAAAAAUCACUAAAGAAAUACCACAUCUAGAAGAACAUUUACUCCGCAAUUUGGACAGAAAUGGAGUUGUUAGGUUGGGAUCCUGGGUAGAAACUGGUGAUAUUUUAGUAGGUAAAUUAACGCCUCAGAUAGCGAGCGAAUCAUCUUAUAUCGCGGAAGGCGGAUUAUUACGGGCCAUAUUUGGCCUUGAGGUUUCCACUUGAAAAGAAACUUCUCUGAAAUUACCUAUAGGUGGAAGAGGGCGCGUUAUCGAUGUGAAAUGGAUCCAAAGGGACCCGCUCGACAUAAUGGUUCGUGUAUAUAUUUUACAGAAACGUGAAAUCAAAGUUGGGAAUAAAGUAGCCGGAAGACAUGGGAAUAAAGGGAUCAUUUCCAAAAUUUUGCCUAGGCAAGAUAUGCCCUAUUUGCAAGAUGGAACACCCGUUGAUAUGGUCUUCAAUCCCUUAGGAGUACCCUCCCGAAUGAAUGUGGGACAAAUAUUUGAAAGCUCGCUCGGAUUAGCGGGGGAUCUGCUAAAGAAACAUUAUAGAAUAGCACCCUUUGAUGAGAGAUAUGAGCAAGAGGCUUCAAGAAAACUUGUGUUUUCAGAAUUAUAUGAAGCCAGUAAAGAAACAAAAAAUCCAUGGGUAUUUGAACCCGAGUACCCGGGAAAAAGCAGAAUAUUUGAUGGAAGAACAGGCGACCCCUUUGAGCAACCUAUUCUAAUAGGGAAGUCCUAUAUCUUAAAAUUAAUUCAUCAAGUUGAUGAGAAAAUUCAUGGGCGUUCUACUGGGCCCUACUCACUUGUUACACAAGAACCGGUUAGAGGAAGAGCCAAGCAAGGGGGACAAUGAGUAGGAGAAAUGGAAGUUUGGGCUUUAGAAGGAUUUGGUGUUGCUCAUAUUUUACAAGAGAUACUUACUUAUAAAUCUGACCAUCUUAUAGCUCGCCAAGAAAUACUUAAUGCUACGAUCUGGGGAAAAAGAAUACCUAAUCAUGAGGAUCCUCCAGAAUCUUUUCGAGUGCUCGUUCGAGAACUACGAUCUUUGGCUCUAGAACUGAAUCAUUUCCUUGUAUCUGAAAAGAACUUCCAGGUUAAUAGGGAGGAAGUUUGAUCGGAAUAAAUAUAAAUUCUUUUCUUAUUUCUAUUUUAUGAUUGACCAAUAUAAACAUCAACAACUUCAAAUUGGACUCGUUUCCCCUCAACAAAUAAAGGCUUGGGCUAACAAAAACCUACCUAAUGGAGAAGUCGUUGGCGAAGUCACAAGGCCCUCUACUUUUCAUUAUAAAACCGAUAAACCAGAAAAAGAUGGACUGUUUUGCGAAAGAAUCUUUGGACCCAUAAAAAGCGGGAUUUGCGCUUGUGGCAAUUCUCGAGCGAGCGGAGAUGAAAACGAAGACGAAAGAUUUUGCCAAAAAUGCGGGGUAGAAUUUGUGGAUUCUCGCAUACGAAGAUAUCAAAUGGAUACAUCAAACUCGCAUGUCCCGUGACUCAUGUGUGGUAUUUGAAAGGUCUUCCUAGUUAUAUCGCGAAUCUUUUAGAUAAACCUCUUAAGAAGUUGGAGGGCCUAGUAUACGGCGAUUUCUCUUUUGCUAGGCCCAGCACAAAAAAACCCACUUUUUACGAUUACGAGGUUUAUUCGAAGAGGAAAUUGCAUCCUGUAACCACAACAUUUCUCCCUUUUUUCUACCCCAGGCUUUGCAACAUUUCGAAAUCGGGAAAUUGCGACAGGAGCAGGUGCUAUUAGAGAACAAUUAGCAGAUUUGGAUUUGCGAAUUAUUAUAGAGAAUUCUUUGGUCGAAUGGAAGGAAUUAGAAGACGAGGGGUAUAGUGGAGAUGAGUGGGAAGAUAGAAAAAGACGAAUAAGAAAAGUUUUUUGAUUAGACGCAUGCAAUUGGCGAAACAUUUUAUUCAAACAAAUGUAGAACCAGAAUGGAUGGUUUUGUGCGUAUUACCGGUUCUUCCUCCCGAAUUGAGACCUAUUGUUUAUAGGUCUGGAGAUAAAGUAGUGACUUCAGACAUUAAUGAACUUUAUAAGAGAGUUAUCCGUCGGAACAACAAUCUUGCCUAUCUAUUAAAAAGAAGUGAAUUAGCGCCAACAGAUUUAGUAAUGUGCCAGGAAAAAUUGGUACAAGAAGCCGUGGAUACACUUCUUGAUAGUGGGUCCCGCGGGCAACCAACGAGGGAUGGUCACAAUAAAGUAUACAAAUCACUUUCAGAUGUAAUUGAAGGUAAAGAGGGAAGGUUUCGCGAGACUCUGCUUGGGAAACGGGUCGAUUACUCGGGGCGUUCUGUCAUUGUUGUGGGUCCUUCGCUUUCAUUACAUCAAUGUGGAUUACCUCUAGAGAUAGCAAUAAAGCUUUUUCAGCUAUUUGUAAUUCGCGAUUUAAUCACGAAAUGCGCCACUUCUAAUGUAAGGAUUGCUAAAAGGAAAAUUUGGGAAAAAGAACCCAUUGUACGGGAAAUACUUCAAGAAGUUAUGCGGGGACAUCCUGUACUGUUAAAUAGAGCACCUACCCUGCAUAGAUUAGGCAUACAGGCCUUUCGACCCACUUUAGUAGAGGGGCGUACUAUUUCUUUACACCCAUUAGUGUGUAAGGGUUUCAAUGCGGACUUUGAUGGAGAUCAAAUGGCUGUUCAUCUACCUUUAUCCUUGGAAGCUCAGGGAGAAGCCCGUUUACUUAUGUUUUCUCAUAUGAAUCUCUUAUCUCCCGCUAUUGGGGAUCCUAUUUGCGUACCAACCCAAGACAUGCUUAUCGGGCUUUAUGUAUUAACGAUUGGAAAGCGUUGAGGUAUUUGUGCAAAUAGAUAUAAUAGUUGCAGAAACUACCCAAAUCUAAAAGUAAAUUACAAUAAUAAUAAUAAUUCUAAAUAUAGGAAAGAUAACGAACCCCAUUUUUCUAGUUCUUAUGAUGCACUGGGAGCUUAUAGACAAAAACUAAUCAGUUUAGAUAGUCCCUUGUGGCUACGAUGGAACCUGGAUCAACGCGUCAUUGGGUCAAGAGAAGUUCCGAUUGAAGUUCAAUAUGAAUCUUUGGGGACUUAUCAUGAGAUUUAUGCCCACUAUCUAAUAAUGGGAAAUAGAAAAAAAGAAAUCCGUUCGAUAUACAUUCGAACCACUCUUGGUCAUAUUUCUUUUUAUAGAGAAAUAGAGGAAGCCAUACGAGGAUUUAGUCAGGCCUAUUCAUACACUACCUAAACAAGAAAGUUAGAUUCGGCGAUGCCCCUCCCCUUUCGGGGGGCAUUCCGAUUUCCCUAGUAUCAUCAUUAUUUGCCACCCGAAUCCAGAUUGAGAUUGAGGCAAGUUAAUUAAAUUUUCGAAUCACUGACUCAGGCCCAUUGUCGAAUCCUACUCAGCAAUUGUCGAAUCCUACUCAGCCGAAAAGGGGGUACUUAUGUAUGGCGGAACGGGCCAAUCUGGUCUUUCAUAAUAAAGAGAUAGACGGAACUGGUAUGAAAUGACUUAUUAGCAGAUUAAUAGAUCAUUUUGGAAUGGGAUAUACAUCCCAUAUACUGGAUCAACUAAAGACUCUGGGCUUCCAUCAAGCCACUACUACAUCGAUUUCGUUAGGAAUCGAGGAUCUUUUAACAAUACCCUCUAAGGGAUGGUUAGUCCAAGACGCGGAACAACAGAGUUUUCUUUUGGAGAAACACUAUUAUUAUGGGGCUGUACACGCGGUAGAAAAAUUACGCCAAUCUGUUGAGAUAUGGUAUGCGACAAGUGAAUAUUUGAUACAAGAAAUGAAUUCAAAUUUUCGGAUAACGGAUCCUUCUAAUCCAGUCUAUCUAAUGUCUUUUUCAGGAGCCAGAGGAAAUGCAUCUGAAGUACACCAAUUAGUAGGUAUGAGAGGAUUAAUGUCGGACCCUCAAGGACAAAUGAUUGAUUUACCUAUUCAAAGCAAUUUACGCGAGGGACUUUCUUUGACAGAAUAUAUAAUUUCCUGCUAUGGAGCCCGCAAAGGGGUUGUAGAUACUGCUGUGCGAACAGCAGAUGCUGGAUAUCUUACACGUAGACUUGUUGAAGUAGUUCAACAUAUUAUUGUGCGUAGAAGGGAUUGUGGUACUAUCCGAGGUAUUUCUGUAAGUCCUCAAAAUGGGAUGACGGAAAAACUUUUUGUCCAAACACUAAUUGGUCGUGUAUUAGCAGACGAUAUAUAUAUCGGUUCACGAUGCAUUGCCGCGCGAAAUCAAGAUAUUGGAAUUGGAUUAGUCAAUCGAUUCAUAACUGCCUUUCGAGCACAACCAUUUCGAGCACAACCAAUAUAUAUUAGAACCCCCUUUACUUGCCGAAGCACUUCUUGGAUCUGUCAAUUAUGCUAUGGCCGGAGUCCUACUCAUAGUGAUCUGGUCGAAUUGGGAGAAGCCGUAGGUAUUGUUGGAGGUCAAUCAAUUGGGGAGCCAGGGACUCAACUAACAUUAAGAACUUUUCAUACUGGCGGAGUAUUCACAGGGGGUACUGCCGACCUUGUACGAUCCCCUUCGAAUGGAAAAAUAAAAUUCAAUGAGAAUUUGGUUCACCCCACACGUACCCCUCAUGGGCAGCCUGCUUUUCUAUGUUAUAUAGACUUGCAUGUAACUAUUCAGAGUCAAGAUAUUCUAUAUAGUAUGAAUAUUCCCUCAAAAAGCUUGAUUCUAGUGCAAAAUGAUCAAUAUGUAAAAUCCGAACAAGUAAUUGCGGAGAUUCGUGCCGGAACGUCCACUUUAUAUUUUAAAGAAAGGGUACAAAAGCAUAUUUAUUCUGAAUCAGACGGCGAAAUGCACUGGAGUACUGAUGUUUACCAUGCCCCCGAAUAUCAAUAUGGUAAUCUUCGCCGAUUACCAAAAACAAGCCAUUUAUGGAUAUUGUCAGUAAGUAUGUGCAGAUCCAGUAUAGCGUCUUUUUCACUCCAGAAGGAUCAAGAUCAAAUGAAUACUUAUGGUAAAAAAGAUAGGGAAAUUCUUGAUUAUUCAACGUGGGAUCGAAUCAUGUCCAAUGGCCAUUGGAAUUUUAUCUAUCCUUCUAUUUAUCAAGAUAAUUCAGAUUUGUUGGCGAAAAAGCGAAGAAAUAGGUUCGUCAUUCCAUUACAAUAUCAUCAAGAACAAGAGAAAGAACUAAUAUCCUGUUUUGGGAUUUCGAUUGAAAUCCCCCUUAUGGGUGUUUUACGUAGAAAUACUAUUUUUGCUUAUUUUGACAAUCCCCGAUACAGAAAAGAUAAAAAGGGUUCAGGAAUUGUUAAAUUUAGAUAUAGGACCCUAGAAGAAGAAUAUAGGACUUGAGCGGAAGACUCAGAAGAGGAAUAUGAGACCCUAGAAGACGAAUACAGGACCCGAGAGGACGAAUAUGAAUAUGAAACCCUAGAAGAAUCUAAAUAUGGAAUCCUAGAAGACGAAUACGAAUAUGAAACCCUAGAAGACGAAUAUGGGAGCCCAGAAAACGAAUAUGGGAACCCAGAGAACGAAUAUAGGACUUUAGAGAAAGACUCAGAAGAGGAAUAUGGGAGCCCAGAGAGCAAAUAUAGGACCCAAGAGGACGAAUAUGGAACUCUAGAGGAAGACUCAGAAGACGAAUAUGGCAGCCCCGGGGAAAGCGCAGAGGAAAAAUAUGGUACUUUAGAGGAAGACUCAGAAGAAGAUUCAGAGGAUGAAUACGAGAGCCCAGAGGAAGAUUCCAUCUUAAAAAAAGAGGGUUUGAUUGAGCAUCGAGGAACAACAGAAUUUAGUCUAAAAUACCAAAAAGAAGUAGAUCGGUUUUUUUUCAUUCUUCAAGAACUUCAUAUCUUGCCGAGAUUUUCAUCCCUAAAGAUACUUGACAAUAGUAUUAUGGGAGUGGAUACACAACUCACAAAAAAUACAAGAAGUCGACUAGGCGGACUGGUCCGAGUGAAGAGAAAAAAAAGCCAUACGAAACUCAAAAUAUUUUCCGGAGAUAUUCAUUUUCCUGAAGAGGCGGAUAAGAUAUUAGGUGGCUGUUUGAUACCGCCAGAAAGACAAAAAAAAGAUUCUAAGGAAUCAAAAAAAAGGAAAAAUUGGGUCUUUGUUCAACGGAAAAAAAUUCUCAAGAGCAAGGAAAAGUAUUUUGUUUCCGUUCGCCCUACAGUGGCAUAUGAAAUGGACGAUGGAAGAAAUUUAGCAACACUUUUUCCGCAGGAUCUCUUGCAAGAAGAAAAUAAUCUCCAAAUUCGACUUGUCAAUUUUAUUUCUCAUGAAAAUAGCAAGUUAACUCAAAGAAUUUAUCACACAAAUAGUCAAUUUGUUAGAACUUGCUUAGUAGUGAAUUGGGAACAAGAAGAAAAAGAAAAGGCUGGUGCUUCCCUUGUUGAGGUAAGAGCAAAUGAUCUUAUUCACGAUUUCCUAAGAAUUGAGUUAGUCAAGUCCACUAUUUCGUAUACACGAAAAAGGUAUGGUAGGACAAGUGCAGGACCGAUUCCCCAUAAUAGGUUAGAUCGCGCCAAUAUCAAUUCUUUUUAUUCGAAGGCGAAGAUUGAAUCACUUAGCCAACAUCCAGAAACUAUUGGCACUUUGUUGAAUCGAAAUAAAGAAUACCACUCUUUGAUGAUUUUGUCGGCAUCCAACUGUUCUCGAAUUGGUUUAUUCAAGAAUUCAAAACAUCCCAAUGCGAUAAAAGAAUGGAAUCCUAGAAUUCCUCUGCGAGAAAUUUUUGGGCCCUUAGGCGCUAUUGUAGCUAGUAUAUCGCAUUUUUCUUCAUCUUACUAUUUACUAACGCAUAAUAAAAUCCUGUUAAAAAAAUAUUUGUUCGUUGACAAUUUAAAACAAACCUUCCAAGUACUUCAAGAACUUAAAUACUCUUUAAUAGAUGAAAAUAAAAGGAUUUCUAAUUUCGAUAGUAACAUAAUGUUGGAUCCAUUCCUUUUGAAUUGUCACUUUGUCCAUCAUGAUUCUUGGGAAGAGACAUUGGCAAUAAUUCACCUUGGACAAUUUAUUUGUGAAAAUGUAUGUCUAUUUAAAUCGCACAUAAAAAAAUCCGGUCAAAUUUUCAUUGUAAAUAUGAAUUCUUUUGUUAUAAGAGCAGCUAAACCUUAUUCGGCCACUACAGGAGCAACUGUUAAUGGUCAUUAUGGAGAAAUCCUUUACAAGGGAGAUAGGUUAGUUACGUUUAUAUAUGAAAAAUCGAGAUCUAGUGACAUAACGCAAGGUCUUCCAAAAGUGGAACAAAUCUUUGAAGCGCGUUCAAUUGAUUCAUUAUCCCCGAAUCUCGAAAGGAGAAUUGAGGAUUGGAAUGAGCGUAUACCAAGAAUUCUUGGGGUCCCUUGGGGAUUCUUGAUUGGAGCUGAGCUAACCAUAGCCCAAAGUCGUAUCUCUUUGGUUAAUAAAAUCCAAAAGGUUUAUCGAUCCCAAGGGGUACAGAUCCAUAAUAGACAUAUAGAGAUUAUUAUACGCCAAGUAACAUCAAAAGUGCGGGUUUCCGAAGAUGGAAUGUCUAAUCUUUUUUCGCCUGGGGAAUUAAUCGGACUAUUGCGAGCGGAAUGAGCAGGACGAGCUUUGGAUGAAUCAAUCUAUUAUCGGGCAAUCUUAUUGGGAAUAACAAGGGCUUCCCUAAAUACCCAAAGUUUCAUAUCUGAAGCAAGUUUUCAAGAAACUGCUCGAGUUUUAGACAAAGCUGCCCUACGAGGUCGCAUUGAUUGGUUGAAAGGCUUGAAAGAAAACGUAGUUCUGGGGGGAUUAUACCUGUUGGUACCGGAUUCCAAAAAUUUGUGCAUCGUUCCCCACAAGACAAGAACCUUUAUUUCGAAAAAAAAUUAUUCGCGUCGGAAAUGAGAGAUUUUUUGUUUCUCCAUACAGAAUUAGUUUCUUCAGAUUCUGACGUAACAAACAAUUUUUAUGAGACAUAAGAACCCCCAUUUAACAUUUAACCCUAUAUCAUUUAAGGAUACAUAAAAAAUAUUUUUUAUUUCAAGCUAUUUCGGAUCUUUCUUAAUCUUCAAAAAGAACUAAAUUCCGUAAUGGAAUGGUAGGAUUAAAAAAAAGGAAGUGUGGAAAAAAUGACAAGAAGAUAUUGGAACAUUAAUUUGAAAGAGAUGAUAGAAGCAGGAGUUCAUUUUGGUCAUGGUAUUAAGAAAUGGAAUCCUAAAAUGGCCCCUUACAUUUCGGCAAAGCGUAAAGGUACUCAUAUUAUAAAUCUCGCUAGAACGGCUCGUUUUUUAUCAGAAGCUUGUGAUUUAGUUUUUGAUGCAGCAAGUCAGGGAAAAAGUUUCUUAAUUGUUGGUACCAAAAAAAGAGCAACAGAUUUAGUAGCAUCAGCUGCAAUAAGGGCUCGUUGUCAUUAUGUUAAUAAAAAGUGGUUCAGUGGUAUUUUAACGAAUUGGUCGAUUACGAAAACUAGACUUUCUCAAUUUAGAGACUUAAGAGCAGAAGAAAAAAUGGGAAAAUUCCACCAUCUCCCAAAAAGAGAUGUGGCAAUCUUUAAGAGAAAAUUAUCUACCUUGCAAAGGUACCUCGGCGGGAUCAAAUAUAUGACGAGAUUGCCAGACAUUGUGAUCGUCCUUGAUCAGCAAAAAGAGUAUAUAGCUCUCCGGGAAUGUGCCAUUUUGGGGAUUCCUACUAUUUCUUUAGUCGAUACAAAUUGUGACCCGGAUCUCGCGAAUAUAUCGAUUCCAGCCAACGAUGACACUAUGACUUCAAUUCGAUUGAUUCUUAACAAAUUAGUAUUUUCAAUUUGUGAGGGCCGUUCUCUCUAUAUAAGAAAUCGUUGAUUAAGAAUAUAUAGUGAAUUCUUGGGCAACUGCGUAAAUUUAUGGAAUCACUUACUUUACUAUAUCUUUUUUUUUGCAUAGAAUUUUUUUUGCAUAGAAAAAAGAAGGGGAAUAUUGAUAUAUAUUAGAGGGUAUUGAUAUAUAUUAUGAUCUGAUGUGCUUUCUUGGUAUCCUAAAUAUAAGAUUAAUACUUCAAGUUGCUGAGUUGAGAAAGAGAUGGUUGAAUCAAAAGAAUUCCUUUUUUGAAGUUCAAUUUUUAUCAGAGGACAAUAUGAAUAUUAUACCUUGUUCCAUUAAAACACUCAAGGGGUUAUACGAUAUAUCGGGUGUAGAAGUAGGCCAACACUUCUAUUGGCAAAUAGGAGGUUUCCAAAUUCUUGCCCAAGUACUCAUCACUUCUUGGGUCGUAAUUACUAUCUUGCUAGAUUCAGUUGUCAUAGCUGUUCGGAAUCCACAAACCAUACCGACCGACGGUCAGAAUUUUUUUGAAUAUGUCCUUGAGUUUAUUCGAGACUUGAGCAAAACUCAGAUUGGAGAAGAAUAUGGUCCCUGGGUUCCCUUUAUUGGAACUAUGUUCCUUUUUAUUUUUGUUUUGAAUUGGUCGGGUGCUCUUUUACCUUGGAAAAUUAUAGAGUUACCCCAUGGGGAAUUAGCAGCGCCCACGAAUGAUAUAAAUACUACUGUUGCUUUAGCUUUACUCACAUCAGCGGCAUAUUUUUAUGCUGAUCUUAGCAAAAAAGGAUUGAGCUAUUUCGAGAAAUAUAUUAACCCAACUCCAAUCCUUUUACCAAUUAACAUUCUAGAAGAUUUCACAAAACCAUUAUCGCUUAGCUUUCGACUUUUCGGGAAUAUAUUGGCGGAUGAAUUAGUCGUUGUUGUUCUUGUUUCUUUAGUCCCCUUAGUAAUCCCUAUACCGGUCAUGUUUCUUGGAUUAUUUACAAGCGGUAUUCAAGCUCUUAUUUUUGCAACAUUAGCCGCAGACUAUAUAGGUGAAUCCAUGGAGGGUUAUCAUUGGAUUGACUCUUUUUGGAAAUAGUAUUUUUUUUGCAGCUUAGCUCAAUUCAUGCAUGGUUCCAGAUAAUCUGCUUGGUUGCAAAAAAAUAGUUAGAAAUGCGUAUGAAUAUAUAGCCUAGAGUUGUAGGAGAGAUAAUAGAAUAGACUAUAUUAUGGAAUUUUCAAAGUAUAUAUGCAAUAAGGAGGGUGGAGUCAGGCUAGAUCUAUACUAUAAUAUCCUUAAUGUCUAUAAUUGGAGUCCUCUUUUAUGCAGGUUUCCACUUUAAGCAAUGAUUUUAGAAUCCGAUUCAAUAGAAAAUGAGAAAAUAUGCAAACAAAAUAGAAGAAACAAAUGUAUAUAUAUAUAGGAUAUUAUAUUAUAUAUUCCUUGGUUAGAUUCAUUAUCUAAUCCGAUAUAUGGAUAUGGAAUUCCCUUCUAUGUAGUUCGGACAAUUCACAUUAUCAUUUCAAUUUGAUUUCAAUUUGUACUUUUUAGUUACUUUAAUUCUCCCCAAUAGAGCUUAGAAGUAAGAAUUUAUUGGUUGAUUGUAUCCUUAACCAUUUCUUUUUUUUGACACGAGGAACUACUCACCAUGAAUCCACUAAUUGCUGCUGCUUCUGUUAUUGCUGCUGGAUUGGCCGUAGGGCUUGCUUCUAUUGGACCUGGAGUUGGUCAAGGUACUGCUGCAGGACAAGCUGUAGAAGGUAUUGCGAGCCAGAAGCAGAAGGUAAAAUACGAGGUACUUUAUUGCUUAGUCUAGCUUUUAUGGAAGCUUUAACAAUUUAUGGACUAGUUGUGGCACUAACGCUUUUAUUUGCGAACCCUUUUGUUUAAUCUUAAAAAAAUUCUUUCGAUUUCGAUUAGAUACUUUUUUCUUUUUUUAGUCAAUUGGUAUUUGCUUCCGCAAUUCCAAUUAUAUCAAUACUUUAUUUAAUUUACUCCUAUUUAUUACUCCUGGAGUUAUCUAUUUACCGGGACAGAUAAUACCCCAUUCUAGGAAGGGCUGAGUUGAGUAUUAUUAAUUUAGAAGAUAUGCUCACCUUCUUAUUUCCCGUCCUUAGUUUAGGAAAGUGGAAAGUUUUUUCCUUUUAUUUUAGGAAUUUUGGGAACAGAACAUUUCAACAAAGGAAGUCUUUCACCGGUCAAACAAGACGUAAGACUUAAUCUAAAAGAAAUUACUAGAUUGAAUCUAUUUGCAUUAAAAAAACGAUCAAAAAAGGGCGAGCGAAGUAAGUGAUCGAAAAACUUUGUUCUUUGUUCGUCCUAUCUAUAAGAGGAGAGCAUAUGAAAAAUGUAACCCAUUCUUUCGUUUUUUAGCUCACUGGCCAUCCGCUAGCAGUUUCAGGCUUAAUACCGAUAUUUUAGCAACAAAUCUAAUAAAUCUAACUGUAGUGGUUGGUGUUUUGAUUUUUUUGGAAAGGGAGUGUGUGCGAGUUGUCUAUUUCAAGAAUAGAUUGGAUCUAUCCGGCUGCACUUUAUAAUAUUUUUUAGUAUUUUUUGGAUAAAUAAGAAAAGGGUGCACGAUCUCGACGAAUUACUUCUGAAUAAAUUCAGAAAUCAUAUGGAAGAACCAUAGCAUUUCGCGACUCAUUGGUAAAUCAACUUUGAUUCUCUAUAAACCAAGAAUGUGAGACCAUUAACACGGUUAAAGCUAAACUGCUUGAAGUCCAGGCAAAAAGAGGUACUCUUUCUACAACUAUAUUAGUAUUAGUACCGAAUUUAAACGGGAAAUAGCUAAUGUAAAAUUUAUCUGAUAUAGAACACUCAUAUAGAUAAAAUGGUUUGAACUAUUUACUAGAAAAAAAGGGGGCACCCUGCCCUUUUGUAAUCAAUGCCGAAUCGACGACCUAUGUAUAAAAAAGAGAAUUUUUUUGGAUUUGAAGAAAAAAAAUAAAAAAGAAUUCUAUUAAUUUUCAUUUUCCAUUUAUUUAGUUAGUUUUUCUUAAUGAAAUUGAAAUUAUUAACUAGAGGGCAAAUAAAAAUAAAGAAACAACUUUGCUGACCAUGAUAUAUUUUUAUCUUGGCAGAAGAGUCCUCUUAAUGUUUAUCUAGUCUUAUAUAGGUUUCGGUAUAUUGAAAUAUAAACAUAAAAAAGAAGAUAGAGGAUAGGCUCAUUACUUAAAAAAAAGAUAUGGAAAUAGCUAUAGAAAAAAAAGGAGCGUGAGAGCCAAAUGAAUCGAAAGAUUCAUGUUUGGUUCGGGAAGAGAUCAUAAAAGGUGUAAACUUACAAAAUAAUCUACUUUCAUUAAAAGAUUUAUAAGAUAAACAAAAACAGAGGAUCUUGAGUACUAUUCGAAAUUCAGAAGAAUUGCAUAGAGGGACCAUUGAGCAACUCAAAAAAGCUCGGAUUCGAUUACAGAAAGUCGAACUAGAAGCGGAUGAGUAUCGAAUGAAUGGAUACUCUGAGAUAGAACGAGAAAAAGCAAAUUUGAUUAAUGCUACUUCUAUUAGUUUGGAAUAAUUGGAAAAGUCUAAAAACGAAACCCUUUAUUUUGAAAAACAAAGGGCAAUGAAUCAGGUCCGACAGCGGGUUUUCCAACAGGCCGUACAAGGAGCUCUAGGAACUCUGAAUAGUUGUUUGAAUACCGAGUUACAUUUCCGUACGAUUCGUGCUAAUAUUGGCAUUCUCGGGUCCCUGGAAUGGAAGAGAUAAUUAAAUUAAUUAGGCCUUGAACUUCUACUUUCGUUUAGAAUUUAGGCAUUAUUUUUCCCCUUGCUUCCGAAAAAAGAGUCAGAAACACUAAUGGCAACCCUUCGAGUCAACGAUAUUCAUAAAAUUCUCCGCGAACGUAUUGAACAAUAUAAUAGGAAAGUAGGGAUUGAGAAUAUAGGUCGCGUAGUUCAAGUGGGGGAUGGGAUUGCUCGUAUUAUAGGUCUUGGUGAAAUAAUGUCAGGUGAAUUACUCGAAUUUGCAGAAGGUACUAGGGGUAUUGCUCUGAAUUUGGAAUCCAAAAAUGUUGGGAUUGUAUUAAUGGGCGAUGGGUUGAUGAUACAAGAGGGAAGUUUUGUAAAAGCAACAGGAAGAAUUGCUCAGAUACCCGUGAGUGAGGCUUACUUGGGUCGUGUUGUAAAUGCUCUGGCUAAACCUAUUGAUGGGAAAGGCGAAAUUAUAGCUUCCGAAUCUCGCUUAAUUGAAUCUCCUGCUCCAAGUAUAAUUUCCAGGCGUUCCGUAUACGAACCUCUUCAAACAGGGCUUAUUGCUAUCGAUUCGAUGAUCCCUAUAGGGCGCGGUCAGCGAGAGUUAAUUAUUGGGGACAGACAGACUAGCAAAACAACAGUAGCCACAGAUACAAUUCUCAAUCAAAAAGGCCAAGGUGUAAUAUGUGUUUAUGUAGCUAUCGGUCAAAGAGCAUCCUCCGUAGCUCAAGUAGUAACUACUUUCCACGAGGAGGGGGCUAUGGAAUACACUAUUGUAGUAGCUGAAAUGGCGGAUUCACCUGCUACAUUACAAUACCUUGCUCCUUAUACGGGAGCAGCCCUGGCUGAGUAUUUUAUGUACCGCGAACGGCAUACUUUCAUAAUUUAUGAUGAUCUCUCCAAACAGGCACAAGCUUAUCGCCAAAUGUCCCUUCUAUUAAGAAGACCUCCCGGCCGUGAGGCUUAUCCAGGGGAUGUUUUUUAUUUGCAUUCACGCCUUUUAGAAAGAGCCGCUAAAUUAAAUUCCCUUUUAGGCGAAGGAAGUAUGACCGCUUUACCAAUAGUUGAGACUCAAUCUGGAGACGUUUCCGCCUAUAUUCCUACUAAUGUAAUCUCCAUUACAGAUGGACAAAUAUUCUUAUCUGCGGAUCUAUUCAAUGCCGGAAUUCGACCCGCUAUUAAUGUGGGUAUUUCUGUUUCCAGAGUAGGAUCCGCGGCUCAAAUUAAAGCCAUGAAACAAGUAGCUGGCAAAUCAAAAUUGGAACUAGCGCAAUUCGCAGAGUUACAAGCCUUUGCACAAUUCGCCUCUGCUCUCGAUAAAACAAGUCAGAAUCAAUUGGCAAGGGGUCGACGAUUAAGGGAAUUGCUUAAACAAUCCCAGGCAAAUCCUCUCCCAGUGGAAGAGCAGAUAGCUACUAUUUAUACCGGAACAAGAGGAUAUCUUGAUUCGUUAGAAAUUGAACAGGUAAAUAAAUUUCUGGAUGAGUUACGUAAACAUCUAAAAGAUACUAAACCUCAAUUCCAAGAAAUUAUAUCUUCUAGCAAGACAUUCACCAAGCAAGCGGAAAUCCUUUUGAAGGAAGCUAUUCAGGAACAGCUGGAACGGUUUUCUCUUCAGUAACAAAUAAAUUUUGCAUGUCUACUCUUGUUAGUAGAAUAGGAAUCGUUGAGAAAGCCUUUUCAUUUGAAUCAUGCAAAAAAGUUUUCUUUGUUUUUAGUUUAGUAUAGUUAUUUAAAGAAUAGAUAGAAAUAAGAUUGCGUCCAAUAGGAUUUGAACCUAUACCAAAGGUUUAGAAGACCUCUGUCCUAUCCAUUAGACAAUGGACGCUUUUCUUUCAUAUUUUAUUCUUUCUUUUAUUUUAUUGCUUCUUCCGAGAAAAAACUGUUAGACCAAAACUCUUUUAGGAAAUCAAAAAAUCCAGAUACAAAUGCAUGAUGUAUAUAUUAUAUCAUGCAUAUAUCAUAAAGAAGGAGUAUGGAGGCGGUAGUGGGAGUCGAACCCGCAACCCCAAGGUUAUGAGCCUUAUGAGCUACCAAACUGCUCUAUACUCUUAAACUGAAGAGGGGUAACUAGGGGAUAAAAGAGGGUUGGAUACGCCCCUCUACCAAUAUCUAUACAAAUAGAAUAGUCCAUUUAUACAGAAUGGUAAAGAGGGCUCCUCUAUGAUUAUCAAUUCCAGAAAUCCAUACAAAUACGAAAGGGUAUUUUAUCCUUACCAACUGGAUCUUGUUGCACCCGGUAACAAACACUCAUAAACCAUUUCUCAAAGUACGUGUCCGGAUAGCCCAAAAUGUCGAUAGUUAGCUCUAGGUCUUCCGGUCAAAAAACAACUCGAUGAAGGCGUGUAGGUGCACUAUUACGCGGUAGGGAUUGCAAUUUUUCUCGCAUUUUCGUUUUUCACUCAAACUCAAGGGAGAAACUUUGCUUCUUAUCUUUUUUUUAAAGAUUGACGAAUCAAAUGAUAUUUCUGUUCUAAUUUCUGCCGCUUCUUCUCCCUCUGAAUCAAACUUUUUUUUGCCAUAAUGUGUCGUUGCUAUUAUUACCAAGUAUAUGGUUCUAAUCAUAGAUGGAAAAAUAAAUAGAAAAAGAAAUCUAAAAAGGCAGAUCCUCCCUCUCUAUCAAGAGUAAUGAACUAGGUGCUGAUAUAGUACAAAAAAAACUAAAUUAACCAAACUUGCCUGAUGUUGAGGCAAUCAAGAAAGCUGCAUAAGUGAAUAUAUAACUCACGGAAAAGUGAGCUAAUCCAACCAAUCUUGCUCGCACAAUGGAAAGAGCCACGGGCUUAUCUCUCCAGCGAAUUAAAUUAGCUAAAGGUGUGCGUUCAUGAGCCCAUGCUAAAGUCUCAAUUAAUUCCUGCCAAUACCCCCGCCAGGAAAUUAAGAACAUAAAUCAAGUAGCCCAAACAAGAUGUCCAAAUAAGAACAUCCACGCCCAUACCGAUAAACUAUUCAUCCCAAAAGGAUUAUAUCCAUUGAUAAGUUGUGAAGAGUUUAACCAUAGGUAAUCUCUUAACCAUCCCAUCAAAUAAGUGGAGGAUUCAUUAAAUUGUGAAACGUUGCCCUGCCAUAAUGUGAUAUGUUUCCAAUGCCAAUAAAAAGUAACCCACCCAAUGGUAUUUAACAUCCAUAAAACUGCCAAAUAAAAUGCGUCCCAAGCAGAAAUAUCACAAGUACCGCCGUGCCCUGGGCCGUCACAAGGAAAACUAUAUCCAAAAUCCGUUUUAUCUGGCAUUAAUUUGGAACCGCGUGCAUCUAAAGCGCCCUUUACUAAAAUCAAUGUAGUUGUAUGCAAACCUAGAGCAAUAGCAUGAUGAACCAAGAAAUCCCCAGGUCCUAUUGUUAAGAAAAGCGAAUUACUAUUCUCAUUAACAACAUUCAACCAUCCGGGCAACCAUAGGCUUCGACCCGCAUUGAAAGCGGGGCCAUUCGUUGAAGAUAAGAGUAUAUCGAACCCAUAUGUCGUCUUGCCAUGAGCAGAUUGUAUCCAUUGGGAAAAUAUAGGUUCGAUCAAGAUUUGCUUUUCUGGAGUACCAAAAGCAAGCAUGACGUCGUUAUGAACAUAAAGGCCCAAGGUAUGGAACCCUAGAAAGAGGCUAGCCCAACUUAAAUGAGAUAUGAUAGCUUCUUUAUGGUCUAACAUUCUUGCCAAUACAUUAUCCUCAUUCUGUUCUGGAUUGUAAUCCCUAAUGAAAAAAAUAGCUCCAUGAGCAAAAGCCCCUGUCAUGAUGAACCCUGCAAUAUAUUGGUGAUGAGUAUAUAAAGCAGCUUGAGUAGUAAAGUCUUGUGCUAUGAAUGCAUAAGGAGGUAAAGAGUACAUAUGUUGAGCUACUAAGGAAGUAAUAACCCCUAAAGAAGCUAGAGCAAGACCUAACUGAAAAUGAAUCGAAUUGUUGAUUGUGUCAUAAAGGCCCUUAUGCCCACGCCCUAAUCGACCCCCCGGAGGAGUAUGCGCUUCUAAAAGAUCUUUAAUAUUGUGCCCAAUUCUGAAGUUAGUUCGAUACAUGUGACCGGCAAUGAGAAAAAUAAAUGCAAUAGCUAAAUGAUGGUGAGCCAUAUCGGUCAGCCACAAACUUUGCGUUUGUGGAUGGAUCCCCCAAGAAGAGUUAGAAUGGCAGUUCCUGCUCCUUGAGCGGUACCAAAUAAAUGAUUACUCGAAUCAGGGUUUUGGGCAUAAAGAUUCCAUUGACCCGUCAAAAGGGGUCCCAACCCCUGGGGAUAGGGUAAUACAUCUAAGAAAUUAUUCCAUUGAACGUACCCCCCUGGAUGCGGGAAUAGCAACAUGAACUAAAUGUCCUGUCCAAGCCAAAGAACUUACCCCGAAAAGUCCUGACAAAUGAUGAUUGAGACGAGAUUCCGCGUUUUUGAACCACGAAAGGCUUGGUUUCCAUUUGGGUUGUAGAUGUAACCAACCCGCUAUUAAGGACAGCGUAGAAAGAAAUAAUAGAAAAAGAGCUCCAAUAUAAAGAUGCUCAUUGGUGCGUAAUCCUAUUGUAUACCACCACUGAUAAACUCUAGAAUAAGCAAUAUUCACUGGACCAGCAGCACCUCCUCGAGUAAAGGCUUCCACAGCGGGUUGACCAAAAUGAGGAUCCCAAAUCGCAUGAGCAAUAGGUCUUACGUGUAAAGGAUCCUGUAUCCAUGAUUCAAAAUUUCCUUGCCAAGCUACAUGAAACAGAUUUCCGGACGUCCAUAGAAAGAUUAUUGCUAAUUGCCCAAAGUGAGAAGCAAAAAUGUUCUGAUAAAGACAUUCUUCAGUAAUAUCAUCAUGACUUUCGAAAUCAUGUGCGGUAGCAAUACCAAACCAAAUAUGACGAGUAGUGGGGUCCUGAGCUAAGCCUUGGCUAAACCUGGGAAAUCUUAAUUCCAUAAUGCCUUUCAAAUCCUCCUAGCCACUAUCCUACUGCAAUAAUUCUCGCUAAGAAGAAUGCCCAUGUCGUGGCAAUUCCACCCAGAAGGUAAUGGGUUACUCCUACAGCGCGUCCUUGUAUAAUGCUCAAGGCUCUAGGCUGAGUAGCAGGAGCAACUUUUAAUUUGUUAUGAGCCCAAACGAUAGAUUCAAUGAGUUCUUGCCAAUAACCAUGGCCGCUGAAUAAAAGCAUUAAACUGAAGGCCCAGACAAAAUGAGCACCUAAGAAAAAAAGACCAUAUGCAGAUAAUGAAGAACCAUAAGACUGAAUGACUUGCGAUGCCUGUGCCCACAAGAAAUCUCGAAGCCACCCAUUAAUCGUAAUGGAACUCUGUGCAAAGUUUCCCCCUGUAAUAUGAGUUACCACCCCUUGAUCACUUAUAGUACCCCAAACAUCCGAAUGCAUUUUCCAACUGAAAUGGAAAAUGACUACCGAAAUUGCAUUGUACAUCCAGAAUAAACCUAUGAAAACAUGAUCCCAGGCGGAUACUUGACAUGUUCCCCCUCGGCCAGGCCCAUCGCAAGGAAAGCGAAAACCUAGAUUUGCUUUAUCGGGUAUUAAACGGGAACUCCGAGCAAAUAAAACACCUUUCAAAAGUAUUAAUACAGUCACAUGUAUGGUAAAUGCAUGAAUGUGAUGGACUAAAAAAUCUGCGGUUCCUAAUGGAAUAGGUAACAAAGCCACUUUGCCACCUACUGCUACUAACUCGCCGCCUCCCCACGUUAAGCUAGUACUUGUUGUUGCACCAGGAGCUGUUACGCCAGGCGCAGUAGCAUGGAUAUUUGUACCCAUUGAGCAAAGAUAGGUUGUAAUUGUAUGGCAGUAUCCGAAAACAUAUCUUGUGGACGGCCUAAAGCACUCAUGGUAUCAUUAUGAAUGUACAAGCCAAAACUGUGAAAACCUAGAAAUAUACAUACCCAGUUAAGGUGGGAUAUGAUUGCAUCGCGGUGUCUAAGGACGCGAUCUAAUAGAUCGUUGUAUCGAGUAGUUGGAUCAUACUCUCUUACCAUAAAAAUUGCUGCAUGUGCAGCAGCACCGACUAUUAGAAAUCCGCCAAUCCACAUGUGGUGUGUGAACAAGGAAAGUUGUGUACCAUAGUCAGUAGCUAGGUAUGGAUAGGGAGGCAUAGAAUACAUAUGAUGAGCUACAACAAUGGUUGUAGAGCCUAGCAUAGCUAGGUUAAGAGAUAAUUGAGCAUGCCAUGACGUUGUUAAGAUUUCAUAAAGACCCUUAUGGCCUUGUCCUGUAAAUGGGCCCUUGAAGCCUCCAAAAUAUCUUUAAGUCCAUGGCCAAUACCCCAAUUGGUCCUAUACAUAUGACCUGCGAUUAGGAAAAGAAUAGCAAUAGCUAAAUGAUGGUGCGCAAUAUCGGUCAGCCAGAGACCACCGGUUACUGGAUCUAGUCCUCCGCGAAAAGUCAGAAAUUCUGCGUAUUUGGACCAAUUUAAAGUGAAAAAGGGGUUGCUCCUUCGGCAAAACUAGGAUAAAGUUGAGCCAAAAGGUCCCGAUUCAAGAUAAAUUCAUGAGGAAGUGGUAUCUCUUUAGGAUCCACCCCAGCGUCAAGAAAUUGGUUAAUUGGUAAAGAUACAUGAAUUUGGUGCCCCGCCCAAGAAAGAGACCCAAGUCCUAAUAAUCCCGCUAAGUGGUGAUUCAACAUGGAUUCUACAUCUUGGAACCAGGCCAAUUUGGGAGCGGCUUUGUGAUAAUGGAACCAACCAGCAAAAAGCAUUAACGCUGCAAAAAUCAAUGCACCAAUUGCAGUACAAUAGAGUUGUAAUUCACUAGUUAUUCCAGAUGCUCGCGAAAGCUGAAAAAAACCAGAGGUUAUUUGGAUUCCUCGGAAACCCCCGCCUACAUCACCAUUCAAUAUUUCUUGCCCUACUAUAGGCCAAACUACCUGAGCACUGGGUCCAAUGUGAGUAGGAUCACUUAGCCAUGCUUCAUAAUUGGAAAAACGGGCGCCAUGAAAGUACAUGCCACUCAACCAAAGAAAGAUAAUGGAAAGUUGCCCGAAAUGAGCACUAAAGACUUUUCGAGAAAUCUCCUCCAAAUCACCAGUAUGACUAUCGAAAUCGUGAGCAUCAACAUGUAGGUUCCAGAUCCAAGUGGUAGUAUCAGGGCCCUUAGCUAGUGUUCUUGAGAAAUGGCCGGGUCUGGCCCAUUCCUCAAAAGAUGUUUCUACAGGAUCCCUAUCCACAACAAUUUUUACUUCUGGUUCCGGUGAACGAAUAAUCAUUAAGUCCUCCUCUUUCUGGACAAGACAUACAAAGAGACCCGCCAACUGUCUUUUUAGUGAAUCUUUGAAAGAUAUAUAUUUUGAAAGAUAGAUUUUGAAAGAUAGAUAUUGUGAUUAGUUCUUUUCUUUACUAUCUACCAUCCUUCUAUUUUUUUUUAGUUAUUCACUGGAGCAAUUAUAUAUUGAAGUCAAUCCGAGGCAAGUGUUCGGGUCUAUUAUGACAUAAAGAUUAGGUGCCUAACGGACAUUGUUUAUCUUGAAAAACAAAUAUUUCUCGACGUAAGAAAAAAAUCUUUUUUAUUUUUAAUUUAAGAAACUAGUGUAUUUUUUUGAGGGCAUAAGCUCCUAUCUAUAUCUACUUUCCUUGAGCAUAAUAUAGGGUUUUUUAUUUGAUUCUAAAUUCCAAGAUAACUCAUUAGAAUUAUUAAUAAGAUGGUCCUAAUAUAUUAGCAAUAUUUAUAUUGCCCCCUCUUUUUAUUCACUUUAUUACUUCUAUUCUAGACCCUAUCCCUAUGGUUUAUUCUUAUGAAAUAUCAUAUAAAAUAGAAGGUAUAAGAAAUGGAUAUAAUGAAAUUCUUGAUUCGAUCUUACGACCUAAUUUAUUUGAUUAAUGGAUCAACAACCAAACCACCCAUUUUAUGAAAAAGAAGGAGCAUGGUCUUAUUCAAAUUCAAAGCGCUUCGUAAUCUUCAACCAGUUCUGUGCUUCAAUAUAAUUUCCCGGAGUAAGCGCUAUAGCUUGUUUCCAACAUUCAGCAGCUUGAUCAAACCAAGCUUCCGCAAUUUCUGAAUCACCCUGUAGAAUGGCCUGUUCUCCUUGGUCGGAAUAGGAAGUUCCUUCCCUUAGAACCGUACUUGAGAGUUUCCUACCUCAUACGGCUCAGAAAUUGCUAUCUGAAUUUCCCCUAUCUUAACUGAAUUCGAUUUAUCAAAAAUCGAUCCAAUUUGUUCUUGGGUUAAGCAGAAGAAAUUAAUUACCUAAGUUUCAAACCCUAAUUUUUAUCAAUAAUCAGUUUGAUCUUUUUUCCCACCUUCAGAAGAAUGAAGCAUAGAUAGAUAUAGAGCCUUCAUUCAAAUUUUCUGAAAGGUAACUAUCCCGUUUUCAUAUAUGAAAUCUCUAUAGAAUCCUUGAAAAAGAAUUUUUCCAUAAGAAAGAAAAAAGAACUUACUAUCUUUGGGAUCUGAUACUACACCGCUGCUUAAUCCCUUAGUGGAUCGGCUCUAUUACAUAAGCGGAUUCCUAAAUUUUGCCCCAUAUCAUGGGAUAAGUAAGCAGUUUUUUUAGUUGUAUCGACCCAGUCGCUCACUAAUUGAUCUUUACGGUGCUUUCUCUAUCAAUUUGAGAAACUUUAUCCAUAGAGUAGUAGUAUAGGCCAUACUUUCUUCUUUUUUGAUUCUCGUGAAGUGUCCUUCCUUCCUACAGCUGAUAGGGAAAAAUCGUUGUUUUUAUGAUCCCUAUGUAGAAAGCCCUUUUUUCUAGUAUUUACUAGAAAAUUUGAUCCUCUCUUUUUUUUCUUUCUUUUCUAUAGUGGAGAUAGUCGCACGUAAUGACAGAUCACGGCCAUAUUAUUAAAAGCUUGCGGUAAGAAGGGGUUUCGUUCUAGUGCCCGGAAAUAAUAUUCCAAAGCCUUUGUAUGCUCUCCAUUGCUUGUGUGUAUAAGGCCUAUGUUAUAGAGUAUAUAACUUCGAUCAUAGGGAUCGAUUUCUAGUCGCGUAGCUUCAUAAUAAUUUUGCAAAGCUUCCGCAUAAUUUCCUUCGGAUUGAGCCAACAUCCGUUACGGUCAUUCAUUCUAUUCAAAAAAUCUCCGUUCCAAAACCGUACAUGAGGUUUUCAUCUCAUACGGCUCCUCCCUUCUGUACAUAAUAGUACUAAGCGAAAUAAUCUAUAGAAUCAAAAUAGAAUUAGUCCCGUCUCAUUAUGAACUGAAAGGGGCUGGUAUUUUUCCAAGAAAUCUCUAGCCAACCUUCCCACAAGAGGUUUUUCUUAACACCAAUGAAUUCUAUUAAUGCUAGAGGAAAACGAUAGCUCCAAUAAUUUCUUUGUUCUCAACGCGUCCUAUUUAGAGGAAUUAGCUACUUCAACGAUCUUUGAUGGUUAUAGGGGUAUCCAAAGUACAAACCUGAUGGUUGUUUGUUAUCCCAACCAUUAUUCCUAGCCCUGAUACCGAUCAGGAAAGGGGUAAUUUCUAACAAAGUUUUUCUCUUGUUGAUUCCUAUUUCUAGGUGUAGUGCUUUUCUCCCCUAUGCUGCCUACGGAUACUAAUAGAGUAGGAUUGGCCUGUAAUCCAUACCAUACCAUAUCCUGUAGGUGUAACCUUUCGCUCAAUACUCAAAUCUACAAUUGAAGUAUCUGAAGCCGCAUCAAUCGAGGAUACACGACGGAAGGAAUUGUUAGUUCGCCUCACCUUCCUGAAGCGUGGGUUUGUUUGCUUUACAAAUUUGGUUCUCUCUAUGCCAACCCCCUCUCUUUUUCGUAAGACUGAGGUAUAGGUAGGGCUAAAAAAAGCAAAAAAAAUGAGUCAAAUCGCACCAUCUCUAUAAUAAGUAAAUGCCUUUUUUUCUCCUGAGGUUGUCGGAAUUAUUCACAAUAAAAUAUUGGCUACAAUUGAGGAGGUCUUAUCAAUGAAAUUUCCAUUUACACGGGAUCUAGGCAUAAUUCCCAACCCAUUCUAUAUAGAAUUGUUUUCAUUCCUUCACAAAAUAACAUAAAAACAAACAUAUUCGAUUCUUAUAAUUAUAAAUAGAUUGAUCCAUAUGCUCUACUCUAAAUCCAUAUGCUUUAAAUGGAUAAGAGAGAUAGAGAUAUGGAUUUUCCGCUCAGCUCAAAUUGUAUCCUUUUCCUUCUGCUUGGACACGAAGAGAUAUGAAAUAUUUGACUAAGACUGGAUUUCAUUCCACUUUGCUAUUUCUGAACAACAACUUAUGUUAUCAACUAUUUCGUGUUUUCAAAGUUAUUAAUUGUCUCAUACCCUAUUUGUGAUUUCGAUAGUAUGGUGUAGCGUAUCUUAUGCAAACGGAAUUCUAAGGUUUCUUUAUUUUAUUAUGCAAUAAGAAGAAUUCUUCCAUUUUCUUUUUCUUUAGUUGCGGGAAAACCCAAAUUAAAACUUUUAUUUUAUAGCGAGCGCAAUUUCUAGUAAAAAAUCCUGUAUCCUUCCACUUAGAUCAAAAGGAAUUUUUCCAAUAGAACUAUGGAACCCCCGAGUGGUUGCGGUUGUACCUGUACUGCAGGAAUAAGAAAACUCGCUAUUCACUCAGUUUAUUUUCCAUAAUAAGUUAUGUAGGAGAGAUGGCCGAGCGGUUCAAGGCGUAGCAUUGGAACUGCUAUGUAGACUUUUGUUUACCGAGGGUUCGAAUCCCUCUCUUUCCGUUUUUCUUAUUUCAUCAACGUUAAGGAUCACAAUGUAUCAAAUCAAAUAACAAUUUUUUCCAGCAAUAAUAUCUUAUAUUAUCUUAUUUUGAUAUAAUAGAAAUUAGAAAUUCUCUAUAGCAAAUUACUGUGGUAUGUAAAAUACACAUAGAGGAAAAAAGAAAAAAGGAUCCUAAUCCUAGGGUUAAUCAAUUUUAGCUAGUUGAUGGGAAAAUACAAAUUAAUGGUAAUGGUCUUAGGGCGAUUUAGUUCGGGGAAAGGGGAAGGGGAAGAAAAUUCUAUGAACCUUUCCUUUUUUGGUUAAGUUCAAGUCUGACGAGAGUAAUAUUCUACAACUAACAACUCAUUUAUUUUGAGACCGACCCACUUCCUAUCUAGGAUUUUAUUUACUAGUCCUUUAUAUUCCAACGUGUCAAUCGCCAAAUGCUUUGGCAAUUUCCCCGGGUCCGAUGAAGCAAUAUAAUUUUGAACCAGACCUUUUGAUCUUUGGCUAUCUUUCGUAGUAAUAAUAUCUCGGGGUUUGCAACGAAAACUUGGUAUAUUGACUAUACGACCAUUAACUAAAAUAUGUCUAUGGUUGACUAAUUGGCGGGCCCCAGGAAUGGUUGAAGCCAUACCAAUCGAAAAAGGAUAUUAUCCAAACGCAUUUCAAGUAAUUGUAGUAAAACCUGGCCUGUUGACCUUUUUGCUUUUCCAGCGAUAUGUACAUAUCUAAGUAAUUGUCGUUCUGUCAGACCAUAAUGAAAACGCAAUUUCUGUUUUUCUUGAACACGAAUACGAUAUUGCUCCUUUUUCCCAGAAAUGAAUUUAUUUUUAAGAUUACCUUUGAUUUAGGUGUUUUUCUAGUGAGUCCUGGUAAAGCUCCCAGACGGCGUAUUUUUUUAAACGAGGUCCUCGAUAACGGGACAUGAAGACUCCUUUUUUUAUUUUAUUGAAAUUUCAUUUUACACAAUUAAUUUCAUUGUAUUUACAUUACAGAAUACAUCGAAAUUAAAACUGAAUUAAACUACAGGAUAAACAGAGUAAAAUCAACUAAAGUACCCAAAAAAAUGGAAUUUCAUCAAAAUCUUUAUUUUUUGUAUAUAUAUUAUUUAUUUUAUUGUUUUGUAUCUAGCAAAAUUGUAAGGUAAAAAACAUAAAAGAUCCUGGAUUCUCCAUUUAAUUCGGAAAAAAAGAGAUUCUUGUUCGUAGAACAUCGAUAGAGAAAAAAAGCCGACUAUCGGAUUUGAACUGAUGACCCUCGCAUUACAAAUGCGAUGCUCUAACCUCUGAGCUAAGUGGGCUUACAUAACGGAAAUAGUGUAACAAAUAGAAAUAGGUAUAGUAUAGGAAAUCCAUAAAAUCUCAGAUAUUAGUUAUUAAUCUUAGCUAUUAACUAGUUCUAAAUUUGAAGUUAUACUUAUAAAAAUAAAAAAAUACUAAAACUUCUUAAAGAUAAAGUUAGCUUGAUAUGCUUAACUAUAGGAUAUUAAAAAAUAAAAUUAUAGAAUUUAUUGGUAUUUUCAUUUGAUCAUUAUAGACUUUAUUAUUUGUUAAUAAUUUGAGGAUUAAUAUUUCACUAAGGGGAACAUAGAGUCAGAGUAAAUAAAAUUGCUAAUUCUGAUUAGAAAAAAAGAAUAAAUAUCAAGCGUUAUAGUAUAAUUUUGAAUACUAUAAAAAAGUAAGACGGGAGGUGGGGGAGAUAAAAACUUUUGGAUAUAUUGAUUCGGAUUGAAUUGCAAAUACAUCAAGGAUAGAAUCAAUUCAAUUGUGAAUUGCAAUAAGCAAGCGAGGUCUCUCAAAUAGAGUCGAACUGAACUGCUAGACUACGUUGAGUGAUGAACUCAAUGAUUCAAAAAAAACUAAGAGAUGGAUGAAAUUACACAAGGAAUCCUGGUCUCAAAGAAGAGGGAAAUGGGGAUAUGGCGAAAUCGGUAGCCGCUACGGACUUGAUUGUAUUGAGCCUUGGUAUGGAAACCUGCUAAGUGGUAACUUCCAAAUUCAGAGAAACCCUGGAAUUGAAAAAGGGCAAUCCUGAGCCAAAUCCGUGUUUUGAGAAAACAAGGGGUUCUCGAACUAGAAUACAAAGGAAAAGGAUAGGUGCAGAGACUCAAUGGAAGCUGUUCUAACGAAUCGAGUUAAUUACGUUGUGUUGUUAGUGGAAUUCCUUCUAAUUCUAAAUUAGAGAAAGUGGGGUUUUUAUACCUUAUACAUUUAAUAAACACGUAUAGAUACUGACAUAGCAAACGAUUAAUCACAGAACUCAUAUUAUAUUAUAAUUAUAAUAUAGGUUCUUUAUCUUUUUAAAAAAUGAAAUUAGAAAUGAUAAUGAUUAUGAAAUAAAAAACUCAUAUCAUAAUUUUUUUUUUCAUUAUUGUGAAUCCAGUCCAAUCGAAUAUUGAAUAAUCAAAUUCUUCAAUUUAAAUUCAAAGUUUUUGAGAUCUUUAAAAAGUGGAUUAAUCGGACGAGGACAAAGAGAGAGUCCCAUUCCACAUGUCAAUACUGACAACAAUGAAAUUUCUAGUAAAAGGAAAAUCCGUCGACUUUAUAAGUUGUGAGGGUUCAAGUCCCUCUAUCCCCAAAUCCUCUUUUAUUCCCUAACUAUACUAUAUUAUUAUUAUUUAUCCUGUUUUUUAUCUUUUUAUCAAUGCAAUGGCAAUGGGUUUAAGAUUCAUUAGCUUUCUCAUUCUACUCUUUCACAAAGGAAUGCGAAGAGAACUCAAUGGAUCUUAUCCUAUUCAUUGAAUAGAUUUCUUUUUUAUUAGAGUAUCGGCAAGAAAUCUUGGUUAUUCACUCUAUUUUUAAGUUUUAUUUAAGUAAACCAUGCACAAUGCAUAGGACUACCCCCCCCCCCAUUUUCAAAUUUCAAAUUUGAAAUACUUUAAUUAAUUUUUAGUCCUUUUAAUUGACAUAGAUACAAAUACUCUACUAGGAUGAUGCACAAGAAAAGGUCAGGAUAGCUCAGUUGGUAGAGCAGAGGACUGAAAAUCCUCGUGUCACCAGUUCAAAUCUGGUUCCUGGCAGAGAAAAAAAAAGAUCCACCGAAUAGGUAUUGAUCCAAAUACCUCGAGAUGGAUUGUGAUACAUAUUCAUUAAUAAUAUUUAUUCAUCUAAGUGGAUAAAUCUAUAAUAUAAAUAUAGAGGCACUUCUUUUUCUUUUUAAAGAAGUUUUAAAAUAUAUCUUUUCUUUAUGAUAAAGAAGGGGGUGAGAUUCCCCUUUAUUUUUUUGCGUUUCUUAAUUUUGUAUUCCGCUAUUCCGACGAAUAUUUUUUUAGUCUUGCUUAUCUUUAUCUUAUCUUAUUUUCCUAGUUGUGCUAAGUAAUGUGCGCGGUACAAAGUUCCUGGUUGAGAACUUCUUUGAGUCAUCCUAUUUUUCUGUUCAUAUGAAGGAAAUUAAUAUGCGAUUUUCAAAAUAGGGGAAUCCAAAUGAAACCCUUUUUUUGCUCAGUCUAUCUGGAAUGCUUUUGUAUAAUUAGGAAUUAAUUAUAAAUAGGUAUUCCGUUUCAUCUAGGAAAAGAACCUAAAAAUAUUCCUUGACUUGAAUAAAAUCUGGAGUUGUGUUGUAUAAGUGAGCAUGAAUUUCUUAUCAUUCAAUGAGCAUCUUGUAUUUCAUAAAAAUUGGGGGUUAUAUAAUCCUUACGUAAGGGCCAGCCUAUCCAACUUUCAGGCAUUAGGAUACGUUUAAGGCACGGAUGAUUAUCAUAAGAGAUUCCCACCAUAUCAUAAGAUUCGCGUUCUUGAAAAUUGGCACUUCUCCAAAUCCAGAAGACAGACGGAAUUCUAGGAUUAUCCUUUUGGGCAAAGACUUUUAUGCAGACUUCUUCUGGAUUAUCUAUACCAUAUUGUAUUCUCGUAAGAUGAUACACGCUAGCUAAAGAUCCACCGGGUGCUACAUCAUAAGCACAUUGGGAGCGUAAAUAAUUGUAACCAUAUACAUAUAAAAUGACAGCAAUGGAAUCCCAAUCCCCUGCUUUUGUUUGUAAAGUCUCUAUUCCUCGGUGAUCAAAGCCCAAAGAUCUAUGAACCACCUCAUGUUUGACUAGCCAAUUAGAUAACCAACCCUGCUACAUUGUCUUCAUCUCUCCCUCUUUGUAUAAAUAUUUCACAUUUCGGAUGUAAGUUUGAAAGAUUGCCCUGCUUUUUAUUUUUCUACACAAAAGAGCCCCUCUCCUAAUUCACUAAUUUGUAGGAAGGUACUGAACUUUUGGAUUUGAAAAAAGUUUCAGAAGAUAUAUCUAAUGUAGAUGGUGAUUGAUAGAGCAAUUCUUGCUCAUAAGUUCCUGUAUGAGUACUGCGCCUAACAUAAAGCUUGUGACUGGUAGUAAAACAUCUAUUUUUAUUUUGAGAUAGAGUUUGAUCCUCAACUAUUUCUCGCGAUAUCUUCUUACGAAGUUUUGUUAGGGCAUCUAUAACUGCCUCCGGUUUAGGUGGGCAGCCCGGCAAGUAGACAUCCACAGGAAUUAACUUAUCAACUCCCCGAACAGUACUAUAGGAAUCUGUACUGAACAUUCCCCCUGUAAUAGUACAGGCUCCCAUAGCAAUGACGUAUUUUGGUUCAGGCAUUUGCUCGUAUAAUCUCACUAAAGAGGGAGCCAUUUUCAUUGUUACCGUACCGGCUGUUAAAAUUAGGUCUGCUUGCCUAGGACUUGAUCUUGGUACCAAUCCAUAACGAUCAAAGUCGAAUCGUGAGCCUAUUAAUGAAGCAAAUUCAAUGAAACAACAACUGGUACCGUAUAGAAGGGGCCAUAAACUGGAGAGUCUUGACCAAUUCGAAAGAUCAUUUGGUGUAGUUGAAAUAACAGAAUUGGAAUUUGUUUGGUCAAGUAAGGGAAACUCAAUCAAAUUCAUAACUGUCUCAAUAGAAUCUUUUCCUUCUUUUUUUUGUCUAAAUAUUCAGUUAAGACCAUUCCAAGGCUCCUUUUCGCCAUGCAUAAACUAAACCAACAACUAAGAUAAGCACGAAAAUCAAAGCUUCAAUAAAAACGGAUACACCCAAUACGUCGAAACUCAUUGCCCAAGGGUAUAGAAAGACGGUUUCCACAUCAAAAACAACAAAAACGAGCGCAAACAUAUAAUAGCAUAUUCGGAAUUGUACCCAAGCCCCUCCCAUGGGUUCUAUACCCGAUUCAUAACUAGAAAGCUUCUCUGGUCCUUCACUAACCGGGGCUAAAAGUCCUGAAAUCGAAAAUGCCAAAAUAGGAAUAAGGCUUGCUAUUAUUAGAAAUGUCCAAAAAAAUAUCAUAUUCGUGAAGCAGAAACAUAAUGUACUCCCAUUAAUGUGGAAUAGCCGGAACUUAAAUUAGUCAAUUCAAUUCAGCAUUGUCAAUUUAUCCAGAACUUCUCUCUUUUCCUCGGUGAAACAAGAAUCUUUUUUGUUCAAACAAAAGCGCUUAGUUUAGCCUUUGUUUCCUCUAUGCUGCAUCUUCUUUAAAGAUUCAUCCAAUGGAAUCCCAACUCCCUUUCUUUUGGAUUUCCAUUCUAUUUAGAUAUGGUGUAUGUAGAUCUAAUUCUUAUAUAAAGAAAACUUUCUCAUUUCACUUUGUCUCGCUUUCUCUAGAAUCUAUCUUGCCGAGAUCUUCAUCCCUAAAGAUACUUGACAAUAGUAUUAUUGGAGUGGAUACACAACUCACAAAAAAUACAAGAAGUCGACUAGGCGGACUGGUCCGAGUGAAGAGAAAAAAAAGCCAUACGGAACUCAAAAUAUUUUCCGGAGAUAUUCAUUUUCCUGAAGAGGCGGAUAAGAUAUUAGGUGGCUGUUUGAUACCGCCAGAAAGACAAAAAAAAGAUUCUAAGGAAUCAAAAAAAAGGAAAAAUUGGGUCUAUGUUCAACGGAAAAAAAUUCUCAAGAGCAAGGAAAAGUAUUUUGUUUCCGUUCGCCCUACAGUGGCAUAUGAAAUGGACGAAGGAAGAAAUUUAGCAACACUUUUCCCGCAGGAUCUCUUGCAAGAAGAAAAUAAUCUCCAAAUUCGACUUGUCAAUUUUAUUUCUCAUGAAAAUAGCAAGUUAACUCAAAGAAUUUAUCACACAAAUAGUCAAUUUGUUAGAACUUGCUUAGUAGUGAAUUGGGAACAAGAAGAAAAAGAAAAGGCUGGUGCUUCCCUUGUUGAGGUAAGAGCAAAUGAUCUUAUUCGCGAUUUCCUAAGAAUUGAGUUAGUCAAGUCCACUAUUUCGUAUACAUGAAAAAGGUAUGGUAGGACAAGUGCAGGACCGAUUCCCCAUAAUAGGUUAGAUCGUGCCAAUAUCAAUACUUUUUAUUCCAAGGCGAAGAUUGAAUCACUUAGCCAACAUCCAGAAACUAUUGGCACUUUGUUGAAUCGAAAUAAAGAAUACCACUCUUUGAUGAUUUUGUCAGCAUCCAACUGUUCUCGAAUUGGUUUAUUCAAGAAUUUAAAACAUCCCAAUGCGAUAAAAGAAUGGAAUCCUAGAAUUCCUAUUCGAGAAAUUUUUGGGCCCUUAGGCGCUAUUGUAGCUAGUAUAUCGCAUUUUUCUUCAUCUUACUAUUUACUAACGCAUAAUAAAAUCCUGUUAAAAAAAUAUUUGUUCGUUGACAAUUUAAAACAAACCUUCCAAGUACUUCAAGAACUUAAAUACUCUUUAAUAGAUGAAAAUAAAAGGAUUUCUAAUUUCGAUAGUAACAUAAUGUUGGAUCCAUUCCUUUUGAAUUGUCACUUUGUCCAUCAUGAUUCUUGGGAAGAGACAUUGGCAAUAAUUCACCUUGGACAAUUUAUUUGUGAAAAUCUAUGUCUAUUUAAAUCUCACAUAAAAAAAUCCGGUCAAAUUUUCAUUGUAAAUAUGAAUUCCUUUGUUAUAAGAGCAGCUAAACCUUAUUUGGCCACUAGAGGAGCAACUGUUAAUGGUCAUUAUGGAGAAAUCCUUUACAAGGGAGAUAGGUUAGUUACGUUUAUAUAUGAAAAAUCAAGAUCUAGUGACAUAACUCAAGGUCUUCCAAAAGUGGAACAAAUCUUUGAAGCGCGUUCAAUUGAUUCAUUAUCCCCGAAUCUCGAAAGGAGAAUUGAGGAUUGGAAUGAGCGUAUACCAAGAAUUCUUGGGGUCCCUUGGGGAUUCUUGAUUGGAGCUGAGCUAACCAUAGCCCAAAGUCGUAUCUCUUUGGUUAAUAAAAUCCAAAAGGUUUAUCGAUCCCAAGGGGUACAGAUCCAUAAUAGACAUAUAGAGAUUAUUAUACGCCAAGUAACAUCAAAAGUGCGGGUUUCCGAAGAUGGAAUGUCUAAUGUUUUUUCGCCUGGGGAAUUAAUCGGACUAUUGCGAGCGGAACGAGCAGGACGAGCUUUGGAUGAAUCGAUCUAUUAUCGGGCAAUCUUAUUGGGAAUAACAAGGGCUUUCCUAAAUACCCAAAGUUUCAUAUCUGAAGCAAGUUUUCAAGAAGCUGCUCGAGUUUUAGCAAAAGCUGCCCUACGAGGUCGCAUUGGUUGGUUGAAAGGCUUGAAAGAAAACGUAGUUCUGGGGGGGAUUAUACUUGUUGGUACCGGAUUCCAAAAAUUUGUGCAACGUUCCCCACAAGACAAGAACCUUUAUUUUGAAAAAAAAAAUCUAUUCGCGUCGGAAAUGAGAGAUUUUUUGUUUCUCCAUACAGAAUUAGUUUCUUCAGAUUCUGACGUAACAAACAAUUUUUAUGAGACAUAAGAACCCCCAUUUAACAUUUAACCCUAUAUCAUUUAAGGAUACAUAAAAAAUAUUUUUUAUUUCAAGCUAUUUCGGAUCUUUCUUAAUCUUCAAAAAGAACUAAAUUCCGUAAUGGAAUGGUAGGAUUCAAGAAAAAGGAAGUGUGGAAAAAAUGACAAGAAGAUAUUGGAACAUUAAUUUGAAAGAGAUGAUAGAAGCAGGAGUUCAUUUUGGUCAUGGUAUUAAGAAAUGGAAUCCUAAAAUGGCCCCUUACAUUUCGGCAAAGCGUAAAGGUACUCAUAUUAUAAAUCUCACUAGAACGGCUCGUUUUUUAUCAGAAGCUUGUGAUUUAGUUUUUGAUGCAGCAAGUCAGGGAAAAAGUUUCUUAAUUGUUGGUACCAAAAAAAGAGCAACAGAUUUAGUAGCAUCAGCUGCAAUAAGGGCUCGUUGUCAUUAUGUUAAUAAAAAGUGGUUCAGUGGUAUGUUAAUGAAUUGGUCGAUUACGAAAACUAGACUUUCUCAAUUUAGAGACUUAAGAGCAGAAGAAAAAAUGGGAAAAUUCCACCAUCUCCCAAAAAGAGAUGUGGCAAUCUUGAAGAGAAAAUUAUCUACCUUGCAAAGGUAUCUCGGCGGGAUCAAAUAUAUGACGAGAUUGCCAGACAUUGUGAUCGUCCUUGAUCAGCAAAAAGAGUAUAUAGCUCUUCGGGAAUGUGCCAUUUUGGGGAUUCCUACUAUUUCUUUAGUCGAUACAAAUUGUGACCCGGAUCUCGCGAAUAUAUCGAUUCCAGCCAACGAUGACACUAUGACUUCAAUUCGAUUGAUUCUUAACAAAUUAGUAUUUUCAAUUUGUGAGGGCCGUUCUCUCUAUAUAAGAAAUCGUUGAUUAAGAAUAUAUAGUGAAUUCUUGGGCAACUGCGUAAAUUUAUGGAAUCACUUACUUUACUAUAUCUUUUUUUUUUGCAUAGAAUUUUUUUUGCAUAUAAAAAAGAAGGGGAAUAUUGAUAUAUAUUAGAGUGUAUUGAUAUAUAUUAUGAUCUGAUGUGCUUUCUUGGUAUCCUAAAUAUAAGAUUAAUACUUCAAGUUGCUGAGUUGAGAAAGAGAUGGUUGAAUCAAAAGAAUUCCUUUUUUGAAGUUCAAUUUUUAUCAGAGGACAAUAUGAAUAUUAUACCUUGUUCCAUUAAAACACUCAAGGGGUUAUACGAUAUAUCGGGUGUAGAAGUAGGCCAACACUUCUAUUGGCAAAUAGGAGGUUUCCAAAUUCAUGCCCAAGUACUCAUCACUUCUUGGGUCGUAAUUACUAUCUUGCUAGGUUCAGUUGUCAUAGCUGUUCGGAAUCCACAAACCAUCCCGACCGACGGUCAGAAUUUUUUUGAAUAUGUCCUUGAGUUUAUUCGAGACUUGAGCAAAACUCAGAUUGGAGAAGAAUAUGGUCCCUGGGUUCCCUUUAUUGGAACUAUGUUCCUUUUUAUUUUUGUAUAGAAUUUUUUUUGCAUAGAAAAAAGAAGGGGAAUAUUGAUAUAUAUUAGAGGGUAUUGAUAUAUAUUAUGAUCUGAUGUGCUUUCUUGGUAUCCUAAAUAUAAGAUUAAUACUUCAAGUUGCUGAGUUGAGAAAGAGAUGGUUGAAUCAAAAGAAUUCCUUUUUUGAAGUUCAAUUUUUAUCAGAGGACAAUAUGAAUAUUAUACCUUGUUCCAUUAAAACACUCAAGGGGUUAUACGAUAUAUCGGGUGUAGAAGUAGGCCAACACUUCUAUUGGCAAAUAGGAGGUUUCCAAAUUCAUGCCCAAGUACUCAUCACUUCUUGGGUCGUAAUUACUAUCUUGCUAGGUUCAGUUGUCAUAGCUGUUCGGAAUCCACAAACCAUCCCGACCGACGGUCAGAAUUUUUUUGAAUAUGUCCUUGAGUUUAUUCGAGACUUGAGCAAAACUAAGAUUGGAGAAGAAUAUGGUCCCUGGGUUCCCUUUAUUGGAACUAUGUUCCUUUUUAUUUUUGUUUCGAAUUGGUCGGGUGCUCUUUUACCUUGGAAAAUUAUAGAGUUACCCCAUGGGGAAUUAGCAGCGCCCACGAAUGAUAUAAAUACUACUGUUGCUUUAGCUUUACUCACGUCAGCGGCAUAUUUUUAUGCUGGUCUUAGCAAAAAAGGAUUGAGCUAUUUCGAGAAAUAUAUUAAACCAACUCCAAUCCUUUUACCAAUUAACAUCCUAGAAGAUUUCACAAAACCAUUAUCACUUAGCUUUCGACUUUUCGGGAAUAUAUUGGCGGAUGUUAAUUGGUAAAAGGAUUGGAGUUGGUUUAAUAUAUUUCUCGAAAUAGCUCAAUCCUUUUUUGCUAAGACCAGCAUAAAAAUAUGCCGCUGACGUGAGUAAAGCUAAAGCAACAGUAGUAUUUAUAUCAUUCGUGGGCGCUGCUAAUUCCCCAUGGGGUAACUCUAUAAUUUUCCAAGGUAAAAGAGCACCCGACCAAUUCGAAACAAAAAUAAAAAGGAACAUAGUUCCAAUAAAGGGAACCCAGGGACCAUAUUCUUCUCCAAUCUGAGUUUUGCUCAAGUCUCGAAUAAACUCAAGGACAUAUUCAAAAAAAUUCUGACCGUCGGUCGGGAUGGUUUGUGGAUUCCGAACAGCUAUGACAACUGAACCUAGCAAGAUAGUAAUUACGACCCAAGAAGUGAUGAGUACUUGGGCAUGAAUUUGGAAACCUCCUAUUUGCCAAUAGAAGUGUUGGCCUACUUCUACACCCGAUAUAUCGUAUAACCCCUUGAGUGUUUUAAUGGAACAAGGUAUAAUAUUCAUAUUGUCCUCUGAUAAAAACUGAACUUCAAAAAAGGAAUUCUUUUGAUUCAACCAUCUCUUUCUCAACUCAGCAACUUGAAGUAUUAAUCUUAUAUUUAGGAUACCAAGAAAGCACAUCAGAUCAUAAUAUAUAUCAAUACCCUCUAAUAUAUAUCAAUAUUCCCCUUCUUUUUUCUAUGCAAAAAAAAUUCUAUGCAAAAAAAAAAGAUAUAGUAAAGUAAGUGAUUCCAUAAAUUUACGCAGUUGCCCAAGAAUUCACUAUAUAUUCUUAAUCAACGAUUUCUUAUAUAGAGAGAACGGCCCUCACAAAUUGAAAAUACUAAUUAGUUAAGAAUCAAUCGAAUUGAAGUCAUAGUGUCAUCGUUGGCUGGAAUCGAUAUAUUCGCGAGAUCCGGGUCACAAUUUGUAUCGACUAAAGAAAUAGUAGGAAUCCCCAAAAUGGCACAUUCCCGAAGAGCUAUAUACUCUUUUUGCUGAUCAAGGACGAUCACAAUGUCUGGCAAUCUCGUCAUAUAUUUGAUCCCGCCGAGAUACCUUUGCAAGGUAGAUAAUUUUCUCUUCAAGAUUGCCACAUCUCUUUUUGGGAGAUGGUGGAAUUUUCCCAUUUUUUCUUCUGCUCUUAAGUCUCUAAAUUGAGAAAGUCUAGUUUUCGUAAUCGACCAAUUCGUUAACAUACCACUGAACCACUUUUUAUUAACAUAAUGACAAGAAGAUAUUGGAACAUUAAUUUGAAAGAGAUGAUAGAAGCAGGAGUUCAUUUUGGUCAUGGUAUUAAGAAAUGGAAUCCUAAAAUGGCCCCUUACAUUUCGGCAAAGCGUAAAGGUACUCAUAUUAUAAAUCUCGCUAGAACGGCUCGUUUUUUAUCAGAAGCUUGUGAUUUAGUUUUUGAUGCAGCAAGUCAGGGAAAAAGUUUCUUAAUUGUUGGUACCAAAAAAAGAGCAACAGAUUUAGUAGCAUCAGCUGCAAUAAGGGCUCGUUGUCAUUAUGUUAAUAAAAAGUGGUUCAGUGGUAUGUUAACGAAUUGGUCGAUUACGAAAACUAGACUUUCUCAAUUUAGAGACUUAAGAGCAGAAGAAAAAAUGGGAAAAUUCCACCAUCUCCCAAAAAGAGAUGUGGCAAUCUUGAAGAGAAAAUUAUCUACCUUGCAAAGGUAUUUCGGCGGGAUCAAAUAUAUGACGAGAUUGCCAGACAUUGUGAUCGUCCUUGAUCAGCAAAAAGAGUAUAUAGCUCUUCGGGAAUGUGCCAUUUUGGGGAUUCCUACUAUUUCUUUAGUCGAUACAAAUUGUGACCCGGAUCUCGCGAAUAUAUCGAUUCCAGCCAACGAUGACACUAUGACUUCAAUUCGAUUGAUUCUUAACAAAUUAGUAUUUUCAAUUUGUGAGGGCCGUUCUCUCUAUAUAAGAAAUCGUUGAUUAAGAAUAUAUAGUGAAUUCUUGGGCAACUGCGUAAAUUUAUGGAAUCACUUACUUUACUAUAUCUUUUUUUUUGCAUAGAAUUUUUUUUGCAUAGAAAAAAGAAGGGGAAUAUUGAUAUAUAUUAGAGGGUAUUGAUAUAUAUUAUGAUCUGAUGUGCUUUCUUGGUAUCCUAAAUAUAAGAUUAAUACUUCAAGUUGCUGAGUUGAGAAAGAGAUGGUUGAAUCAAAAGAAUUCCUUUUUUGAAGUUCAGUUUUUAUCAGAGGACAAUAUGAAUAUUAUACCUUGUUCCAUUAAAACACUCAAGGGGUUAUACGAUAUAUCGGGUGUAGAAGUAGGCCAACACUUCUAUUGGCAAAUAGGAGGUUUCCAAAUUCAUGCCCAAGUACUCAUCACUUCUUGGGUCGUAAUUACUAUCUUGCUAGGUUCAGUUGUCAUAGCUGUUCGGAAUCCACAAACCAUCCCGACCGACGGUCAGAAUUUUUUUGAAUAUGUCCUUGAGUUUAUUCGAGACUUGAGCAAAACUCAGAUUGGAGAAGAAUAUGGUCCCUGGGUUCCCUUUAUUGGAACUAUGUUCCUUUUUAUUUUUGUUUUGAAUUGGUCGGGUGCUCUUUUACCUUGGAAAAUUAUAGAGUUACCCCAUGGGGAAUUAGCAGCGCCCACGAAUGAUAUAAAUACUACUGUUGCUUUAGCUUUACUCACGUCAGCGGCAUAUUUUUAUGCUGGUCUUAGCAAAAAAGGAUUGAGCUAUUACGAGAAAUAUAUUAAACCAACUCCAAUCCUUUUACCAAUUAACAUCCUAGAAGAUUUCACAAAACCAUUAUCGCUUAGCUUUCGACUUUUCGGGAAUAUAUUGGCGGAUGAAUUAGUCGUUGUUGUUCUUGUUUCUUUAGUCCCCUUAGUAAUCCCUAUACCGGUCAUGUUUCUUGGAUUAUUUACAAGCGGUAUUCAAGCUCUUAUUUUUGCAACAUUAGCCGCAGCCUAUAUAGGUGAAUCCAUGGAGGGUCAUCAUUGAAUUGACUCUUUUUGGAAAUAGUAUUUUUUUUGCAGCUUAGCUCAAUACAUGCAUGGUUCCAGAUAAUCUGCUUGGUUGCAAAAAAAUAGUUAGAAAUGCGUAUGAAUAUAUAGCCUAGAGUUGUAGGAGAGAGAAUAGAAUAGACUAUAUUAUGGAAUUUUCAAAGUAUAUAUGCAUUAAGGAGGGUGGAGUCAGGCUAGAUCUAUACUAUAAUAUCCUUAAUGUCUAUAAUUGGAGUCCUCUUUUAUGCAGGUUUCCACUAUAAGCAAUGAUUUUAGAAUCCGAUUCAAUAGAAAAUGAGAAAAUAUGCAAACAAAAUAGAAGAAACAAAUGUAUAUAUAUAGGAUAUUAUAUUAUAUAUUCCUGGGCUAGAUUCAUUAUCUAAUCCGAUAUAUGGAUAUGGAAUUCCCUUGUAUGUAGUUCGGACAAUUCACAUUAUCAUUUCAAUUUGAUUUCAAUUUGUACUUUUUAGUUACUUUACUUCUCCCCAAUAGAGCUUAGAAGUAAGAAUUUAUUGGUUGAUUGUAUCCUUAACCAUUUCUUUUUUUUGACACGAGGAACUACUCACCAUGAAUGCACUAAUUGCUGCUGCUUCUGUUAUUGCUGCUGGAUUGGCCGUAGGGCUUGCUUCUAUUGGACCUGGAGUUGGUCAAGGUACUGCUGCAGGACAAGCUGUAGAAGGUAUUGCGAGACAGCCAGAAGCAGAAGGUAAAAUACGAGGUACUUUAUUUCUUAGUCUAGCUUUUAUGGAAGCUUUAACAAUUUAUGGACUAGUUGUGGCACUAGCGCUUUUAUUUGCGAACCCUUUUGUUUAAUCUUAAAAAAUUCUUUCGAUUUCGAUUAGAUACUUUUUUUUUCUUUUUUAGUAAAUUGGUAUUUGCUUCCGCAAUUCCAAUUAUAUCAAUACUUUAUUUAAUUUACUCCUAUUUAUUACUCCUGGAAUUAUCUAUUUAUCGGGACAGAUAAUACCCCAUUCUAGGAAGGGCUGAGUUGAGUAUUAUUAAUUUAGAAGAUAUGCUCACCUUCUUAUUUCCCGUCCUUAGUUUAGGAAAGUGGAAUGUUUUUUCCUUUUAUUUUAGGAAUUUUGGGAACAGAACAUUUCAACAAAGGAAGUCUUUCACCGGUCAAACAAGACGUAAGACUUAAUCUAAAAGAAAUUACUAGAUUGAAUCUAUUUGCAUUAAAAAAACCGAUCAAAAAAGGGCGAGCGAAGUAAGUGAUCGAAAAACUUUGUUCUUUGUUCGUCCUAUCUAUAAGAGGAGAGCAUAUGAAAAAUGUAACCCAUUCUUUCGUUUUUUUAGCUCACUGGCCAUCCACUGGCAGUUUCGGGCUUAAUACCGAUAUUUUAGCAACAAAUCUAAAAGUCUAACUGUAGUGGUUGGUGUUUUGAUUUUUUUGGAAAGGGAGUGUGUGCGAGUUGUCUAUUUCAAGAAUAGAUUGGAUCUAUCCGGCUGCACUUUAUAAUAUUUUUUAGUAUUUUUCGGAUAAAUAAGAAAAGGGUGCACGAUCUCGACGAAUUACUUCUGAAUAAAUUCAGAAAUCAUAUGGAAGAACCAUAGCAUUUCGCGACUCAUUGGUAAAUCAACUUUGAUUCUCUAUAAACCAAGAAUGUGAGACCAUUAACAUGGUUAAAGCUAAACUGCUUGAAGUCCAGGCAAAAAGAGGUACUCUUUCUACAACUAUAUUAGUAUUAGUACCGAAUUUAAACGGGAAAUAGCUAAUGUAAAAUUUAUCUGAUAUAGAACACUCAUAUCGAUAAAAUGGUUUGAACUAUUUACUAGAAAAAAAAGGGGGCACCCUACCCUUUUUUAACCAAUGCCGAAUCGACGACCUAUGUAUAAAAAAGAGAAAUUUUUUGGAUUUGAAGAAAAAAAUAAAAAAGAAUUCUAUUAAUUUUCAUUUUCCAUUUAUUUAGUUAGUUUUUCUUAAUGAAAUUGAAAUUAUUAACUAGAGGGCAAAUAAAAAUAAAGAAACAACUUUGCUGACCAUGAUAUAUUUUUAUCUAGGCGGAAGAGUCCUCUUAAUAUUUAUCUAGUCUUAUAUAGGUUUCGGUAUAUUGAAAUAUAAACAUAAAAAAGAAGAUAGAGGAUAGGCUCAUUACUUAAAAAAAAGAUAUGGAAAUAGCUAUAGAAAAAAAAGGAGCGUGAGAGCCAAAUGAAUCGAAAGAUUCAUGUUUGGUUCGGGAAGAGAUCAUAAAAGUUGUAAACUUACAAAAUAAUCUACUUUCAUUAAAAGAUUUAUUAGAUAAACAAAAACAGAGGAUCUUGAGUACUAUUUGAAAUUCAGAAGAAUUGCGUAGAGGGACCAUUGAGCAACUCGAAAAAGCUCGGAUUCGAUUACAGAAAGUCGAACUAGAAGCGGAUGAGUAUCGAAUGAAUGGAUACUCUGAGAUAGAACGAGAAAAAUCAAAUUUGAUUAAUGCUACUUCUAUUAGUUUGGAACAAUUGGAAAAGUCUAAAAACGAAACCCUUUAUUUUGAAAAACAAAGGGCAAUGAAUCAGGUUCGACAGCGGGUUUUCCAACAGGCCGUACAAGGAGCUCUAGGAACUCUGAAUAGUUGUUUGAAUACCGAGUUACAUUUCCGUACGAUUCGUGCUAAUAUUGGCAUUCUCGGGUCCCUGGAAUGGAAUAGAUAAUUAAAUUAAUUAGGCCUUGAACUUCUACUUUCGUUUAGAAUUUAGGCAUUAUUUUUCCCCUUGCUUCCGAGAAAAGAGUCAGAAACACUAAUGGCAACCCUUCGAGUCGACGAAAUUCAUAAAAUUCUCCGCGAACGUAUUGAACAAUAUAAUAGGAAAGUAGGGAUUGAGAAUAUAGGUCGCGUAGUUCAAGUGGGGGAUGGGAUUGCUCGUAUUAUAGGUCUUGGUGAAAUAAUGUCAGGUGAAUUAGUCGAAUUUGCAGAAGGUACUAGGGGUAUUGCUCUGAAUUUGGAAUCCAAAAAUGUUGGGAUUGUAUUAAUGGGCGAUGGGUUGAUGAUACAAGAGGGAAGUUUUGUAAAAGCAACAGGAAGAAGUGCUCAGAUACCCGUGAGUGAGGCUUACUUGGGUCGUGUUGUAAAUGCUCUGGCUAAACCUAUUGAUGGGAAAGGCGAAAUUAUAGCUUCCGAAUCUCGCUUAAUUGAAUCUCCUGCUCCAAGUAUAAUUUCCAGGCGUUCCGUAUACGAACCUCUUCAAACAGGGCUUAUUGCUAUCGAUUCGAUGAUCCCUAUAGGGCGCGGUCAGCGAGAGUUAAUUAUUGGGGACAGACAGACUGGCAAAACAGCAGUAGCCACAGAUACAAUUCUCAAUCAAAAAGGCCAAGGUGUAAUAUGUGUUUAUGUAGCUAUCGGUCAAAGGGCAUCCUCCGUAGCUCAAGUAGUAACUACUUUCCACGAGGAGGGGGCUAUGGAAUACACUAUUGUAGUAGCUGAAAUGGCGGAUUCACCUGCUACAUUACAAUACCUCGCUCCUUAUACGGGAGCAGCCCUGGCUGAGUAUUUUAUGUACCGCGAACGGCAUACUUUAAUAAUUUAUGAUGAUCUCUCCAAACAGGCACAAGCUUAUCGCCAAAUGUCCCUUCUAUUAAGAAGACCUCCCGGCCGUGAGGCUUAUCCAGGGGAUGUUUUUUAUUUGCAUUCACGCCUUUUAGAAAGAGCCGCUAAAUUAAAUUCUCUUUUAGGCGAAGGAAGUAUGACCGCUUUACCAAUAGUUCAGACUCAAUCUGGAGACGUUUCCGCCUAUAUUCCUACUAAUGUAAUCUCCAUUACAGAUGGACAAAUAUUCUUAUCUGCGGAUCUAUUCAAUGCCGGAAUUCGACCCGCUAUUAAUGUGGGUAUUUCUGUUUCCAGAGUAGGAUCCGCGGCUCAAAUUAAAGCCAUGAAACAAGUAGCUGGCAAAUCAAAAUUGGAACUAGCGCAAUUCGCAGAGUUACAAGCCUUUGCACAAUUCGCCUCUGCUCUCGAUAAAACAAGUCAGAAUCAAUUGGCAAGGGGUCGACGAUUAAGGGAAUUUCUUAAAUAAUCCCAGGCAAAUCCUCUCCCAGUGGAAGAGCAGAUAGCUACUAUUUAUACCGGAACAAGAGGAUAUCUUGAUUCGUUAGAAAUUCAACAGGUAAAUAAAUUUCUGGAUGAGUUACGUAAACAUCUAAAAGAUACUAAACCUCAAUUCCAAGAAAUUAUAUCUUCUAGCAAGACAUUCACCGAGCAAGCGGAAAUCCUUUUGAAGGAAGCUAUUCAGGAACAGCUGGAACGGUUUUCUCUUCAGUAACAAAUAAAUUUUGCAUGUCUACUCUUGUUAGUAGAAUAGGAAUCAUUGAGAAAGCUUUUUCAUUUGAAUCAUGCAAAAAAGUUUUCUUUGUUUUUAGUUUAGUAUAGUUAUUUAAAGAAUAGAUAGAAAUAAGAUUGCGUCCAAUAGGAUUUGAACCUAUACCAAAGGUUUAGAAGACCUCUGUCCUAUCCAUUAGACAAUGGACGCUUUUCUUUCAUAUUUUAUUCUUUCUUUUAUUUUUUUGCUUCUUCCGAGAAAAAACUGUUAGACCAAAACUCUUUUAGGAAAUCAAAAAAUCCAGAUACAAAUGCAUGAUGUAUAUAUUAUAUCAUGCAUAUAUCAUAAAGAAGGAGUAUGGAGGCGGUAGUGGGAAUCGAACCCGCAACCCCAAGGUUAUGAGCCUUAUGAGCUACCAAACUGCUCUAUACUCUUAAACUAAAGAGGGGUAACUAGUGGAUAAAAGAGGGUUGGAUACGCCCCUCUACCAAUAUCUAUACAAAUAGAAUAGUCCAUUUAUACAGAGUGGUAAAGAGGGCUCCCAUCAAUUCCAGAAAUCCAUACAAAUACGAAAGGGUAUUUUAUCCUUACCAACUGGAUCUUGUUGCACCCGGUAACAAACACUCAUAAACCAUUUCUCGAAGUACGUGUCCGGAUAGCCCAAAAUGUCGAUAGUUAGCUCUAGGUCUUCCGGUCAAAAAACAACGUCGAUGAAGGCGUGUAGGUGCACUAUUACGCGGUAGGGAUUGCAAUUUUUCUCGCAUUUUCGUUUUUUCACUCAAACUCAAGGGAGAAACUUUGCUUCUUAUCUUUUUUUUAAAGAUUGACGAAUCAAAUGAUAUUUCUGUUCUAAUUUCUGCCGCUUCUUCUCCCUCUGAAUCAAACUUUUUUUUGCCAUAAUGUGUCGUUGCUAUUAUUACCAAGUAUACGGUUCUAAUCCUAGAUGGAAAAAUAAAUAGAAAAAGAAAUCUAAAAAGGCAGAUCCUCCCUCUCUAUCAAGAGUAAUGAACUAGGUGCUGAUACAGUACAAAAAAACAAACUAAAUUAACCAAACUUGCCUGAUGUUGAGGCAAUCAAGAAAGCUGCAUAAGUGAAUAUAUAACCCACGGAAAAGUGAGCUAAUCCAACCAAUCUUGCUUGCACAAUGGAAAGAGCCACGGGCUUAUCUCUCCAGCGAAUUAAAUUAGCUAAAGGUGGGCGUUCAUGAGCCCAUGCUAAAGUCUCAAUUAAUUCCUGCCAAUACCCCCGCCAGGAAAUUAAGAACAUAAAUCGAGUAGCCCAAACAAGAUGUCCAAAUAAGAACAUCCACGCCCAUACCGAUAAACUAUUCAUCCCAAAAGGAUUAUAUCCAUUGAUAAGUUGUGAAGAGUUUAACCAUAGGUAAUCUCUUAACCAUCCCAUCAAAUAAGUGGAGGAUUCAUUAAAUUGUGAAACGUUGCCCUGCCAUAAUGUGAUAUGUUUCCAAUGCCAAUAAAAAGUAACCCACCCAAUGGUAUUUAACAUCCAGAAAACUGCCAAAUAAAAUGCGUCGCAAGCAGAAAUAUCACAAGUACCGCCGCACCCUGGGCCGUCACAAGGAAAACUAUAUCCAAAAUCCGUUUUAUCUGGCAUUAAUUUGGAACCGCGUGCAUCUAAAGCGCCCUUUACUAAAAUCAAUGUAGUUGUAUGCAAACCUAGAGCAAUAGCAUGAUGAACCAAGAAAUCCCCAGGUCCUAUUGUUAAGAAAAGCGAAUUACUAUUCUCAUUAACAGCAUUCAACCAUCUGGGCAACCAUAGGCUUCGACCCGCAUUGAAAGCGGGGCCAUUCGUUGAAGAUAAGAGUAUAUCGAACCCAUAUGUCGUCUUGCCAUGAGCAGAUUGUAUCCAUUGGGCAAAUAUAGGUUCGAUCAAGAUUUGCUUUUCUGGAGUACCAAAAGCAAGCAUGACGUCGUUAUGAACAUAAAGGCCCAAGGUAUGGAAUCCUAGAAAGAGGCUAGCCCAAAUUAAAUGAGAUAUGAUAGCUUCUUUAUGGUCUAACAUUCUUGCCAAUACAUUAUCCUCAUCCUGUUCCGGAUUGUAAUCCCUAAUGAAAAAAUAGCUCCAUGAGCAAAAGCCCCUGUCAUGAUGAACCCUGCAAUAUAUUGGUGAUGAGUAUAUAAAGCAGCUUGAGUAGUAAAGUCUUGUGCUAUGAAUGCAUAAGGAGGUAAAGAGUACAUAUGUUGAGCUACUAAGGAAGUAAUAACCCCUAAAGAAGCUAGAGCAAGACCUAACUGAAAAUGAAUCAAAUUGUUGAUUGUGUCAUAAAGGCCCUUAUGCCCACGCCCUAAUCGACCCCCCGGAGGAGUAUGCGCUUCUAAAAGAUCUUUAAUACUGUGCCCAAUUCCGAAGUUAGUUCGAUACAUGUGACCGGCAAUGAGAAAAAUAAAUGCAAUAGCUAAAUGAUGGUGAGCCAUAUCGGUCGGCCACAAACUUUGCGUUUGUGGAUGGAAUCCCCCAAGAAGAGUUAGAAUGGCAGUUCCCGCUCCUUGACCGGUACCAAAUAAAUGAUUACUCGAAUCAGGGUUUUGGGCAUAAAGAUUCCAUUGACCCGUCAAAAGGGGUCCCAACCCCUGGGAUAGGGUAAUACAUCUAAGAAAUUAUUCCAUCGAACGUACUCCCCCUGGAUGCGGGAAUAGCAACAUGAACUAAAUGUCCUGUCCAAGCCAAAGAACUUACCCCGAAAAGUCCUGACAAAUGAUGAUUGAGACGAGAUUCCGCGUUUUUGAACCACGAAAGGCUUGGUUUCCAUUUGGGUUGUAGAUGUAACCAACCCGCUAUUAAGGACAGCGUAGAAAUAAAUAAUAGAAAAAGAGCUCCAGUAUAAAGAUCCUCAUUGGUGCGUAAUCCUAUUGUAUACCACCACUGAUAAACUCUAGAAUAAGCAAUAUUCACUGGACCAGCAGCACCUCCUCGAGUAAAGGCUUCCACGGCGGGUUGACCAAAAUGAGGAUCCCAAAUCGCAUGAGCAAUAGGUCUUACGUGUAAAUGAUCCUGUAUCCAUGAUUCAAAAUUUCCUUGCCAAGCUACAUGAAACAUAUUUCCGGACGUCCAUAGAAAGAUUAUUGCUAAUUGCCCAAAGUGAGAAGCAAAAAUGUUCUGAUAAAGACGUUCUUCAGUAAUAUCAUCAUGACUUUCGAAAUCAUGUGCGGUAGCAAUACCAAUCCAAAUACGACGAGUAGUGGGGUCCUGAGCUAAGCCUUGGCUAAACCUGGGAAAUCUUAAUUCCAUAAUGCCUUUCAAAUCCUCCUAGCCACUAUCCUACUGCAAUAAUUCUCGCUAAGAAGAAUGCCCAUGUCGUGGCAAUUCCACCCAGAAGGUAAUGGGUUACUCCUACAGCACGUCCUUGUAUAAUGCUCAAGGCUCUAGGAUGAGUAGCAGGAGCAACUUUUAAUUUGUUAUGAGCCCAAACGAUAGAUUCAAUGAGUUCUUGCCAAUAACCACGGCCGCUGAAUAAAAACAUUAAACUGAAGGCCCAGACAAAAUGAGCACCUAAGAAAAAAAGACCAUAUGCAGAUAAUGAAGAACCAUAAGACUGAAUGACUUGCGAUGCCUGUGCCCACAAGAAAUCUCGAAGCUACCCAUUAAUCGUAAUGGAACUCUGUGCAAAGUUUCCCCCUGUAAUAUGAGUUACCACCCCUUGAUCACUUAUAGUACCCCAAACAUCCGACUGCAUUUUCCAACUGAAAUGGAAAAUGACUACCGAAAUUGCAUUGUACAUCCAGAAUAAACCUAAGAAAACAUGAUCCCAGGCGGAUACUUGACAUGUUCCCCCUCGGCCAGGCCCAUCGCAAGGAAAGCGAAAACCUAGAUUUGCUUUAUCGGGUAUCAAACGGGAACUCCGAGCAAAUAAAACACCUUUCAAAAGUAUUAAUACAGUCACAUGUAUGGUAAAUGCAUGAAUGUGAUGGACUAAAAAAUCUGCGGUUCCUAAUGGAAUAGGUAACAAAGCAACUUUGCCACCUACUGCUACUAACUCGCCGCCUCCCACGUUAAGCUAGUACUUGUUGUUGCACCAGGAGCUGUUACGCCAGGCGCAGUAGCAUGGAUAUUUGUACCCAUUGAGCAAAGAUAGGUUGUAAUUGUAUGGCAGUAUCCGAAAACAUAUCUUGUGGACGGCCUAAAGCACUCAUGGUAUCAUUAUGAAUGUACAAGCCAAAACUGUGAAAACCUAGAAAUAUACAUACCCAGUUAAGGUGGGAUAUGAUUGCAUCGCGGUGUCUAAGGACGCGAUCUAAUAGAUCGUUGUAUCGAGUAGUUGGAUCAUAGUCUCUUACCAUAAAAAUUGCUGCAUGUGCAGCAGCACCGACUAUUAGAAAUCCGCCAAUCCACAUGUGGUGUGUGAACAAGGAAAGUUGUGUACCAUAGUCAGUAGCUAGGUAUGGAUAGGGAGGCAUAGAAUACAUAUGAUGAGCUACAACAAUGGUUGUAGAGCCUAGCAUAGCUAGGUUAAGAGAUAAUUGAGCAUGCCAUGACGUUGUUAAGAUUUCAUAAAGACCCUUAUGGCCUUGUCCUGUAAAUGGGCCCUUGUGAGCCUCCAAAAUAUCUUUAAGUCCAUGGCUAAUACCCCAAUUGGUCCUAUACAUAUGACCUGCGAUUAGGAAAAGAAUAGCAAUAGCUAAAUGAUGGUGCACAAUAUCGGUCAGCCAGAGACCACCGGUUACUGGAUCUAGUCCUCCGCGAAAAGUCAGAAAUUCUGCGUAUUUGGACCAAUUUAAAGUGAAAAAAGGGGUUGCUCCUUCGGCAAAACUAGGAUAAAGUUGAGCCAAAAGGUAUCAUUGAUCGUACUAGCACCUUGUUUCUUCUCAACUUUAGGGUGCAGAAGAAGCUGCAUGGAAAGCUGAAGCAGCUCAGAAGCGAGCAGGCAGACGUAUGUAUGGCUCCAGGAGCGGUGCAAAUGAUGAAUGACCAAGAGCUGUUCCAGCAUGAACCCUCUGCGUGUCUCACAAUUACUACAUUUGUUGAGACGGUCAAAUUUGUGGAUUUUUUCCGUGAAACUACGACAGGCGAAAUCCGGCCUUAUACCCUAUCCAACAAAAGAGAAUCAAAGUUCUUUAGGGCAUGUUUGGUUGCAGUUUGCAACAGUAGUUGCAUUGCAUGUCCAUCUUCAACCAGUCUGGUUGAUGAAAUGCAGCCUCAUAUGCAGCAGAUGCAACCUAUUUGGUUGCCUGCAUCGCAUGGAGAGGCACUUACCCCCUGCUGUUUGGUUGCCGUUUUUGUGCUUAGGGUGUGAGCAGAUGCAAACUUCAGCUGUUUGGUUUCAAACAGUGUUUGUGUUCUGCUCACCCCAUUCAAAUGUGGUGGCCUUACCACCACAUGAUCAACACAACAACAACAGCACAACAGCAGGCAACCAAAUGAAAUCAAACACAGCAAGCAAACUACUUAACUACAUAGCAUAAGUCUAGAUUAACAGCAGGGGCAUCCUCCUUCCCUGCUCCAUGCCAGGGUGCUGCUCCUGGCCAAAAUAUGAACAAGUUCCCAGCUCAAGUCUCGCCACACACCAUAAAAGUUCUCCACUAACACCUUACUUAACUUAACUACAUAGCCUGCUCGAUGUUACCAAUGCAAUUGUGCCUGCUGCAACGAAACCUGCACAUGACCGAGGAGUCGUGGUUGUAGAUCUGAACCUUCAGUCCGAGUCCUGAGAUGCGCACAACGGUGAGGUCGCCGGGGACGAUCUGGUGGCGGCGGCAGAAGUAGUUCCAGCCCCAGCCAAGCACCAUGUGCCCCUCGAAGUUUUGGACCUGCACCCAGAACACACAUCGCUUGUUCGCCGACAGCCUGACCACGCGCGGGAGCCGCUUGAUGACCAGCCAUGUGUUCAUCACCUCCACGAACUUGCGAGGGACGACGAGCAUGGAGAGGUCCUCGUUGUCCUUGAUCUGCUGGUAGAAGCGCAUCGGCUCCCUGGCCUUCUCCUCAUGGCCCUGCCUCGGAGAUCGUCCCCUUGAGCGAGGCAGGCUCAUGAAGGCGAUCCUGCCAGGCAGGUCCACCGUCCUGAGCCACCUGUUUGUGGGGAUGAAAUCCUCAGCGCGCUCAGCUCCGGCCACCACCUGAGCUCCUCCUCCCGCCACAUCCCAAUCAGUCUUCAGUAUCUUGUCAGGUAAGAUGACAAGUAUUAGUGCACAAACUCUUUGCAAAAUGGCACUGAUCAGAGACAUUUUCCCAAGAGCAAAUGCCACUGAUCAGUACACAAACUCUUUGAGCAAAUGCCACUUAUCAAUGGCACUUGUUGUUAGGAAAAUGACACUGAUCAGUGGCACUGAUAAGUGGACUUGCCCAUUAGCAAGUGCCAUUGAUAAGUGGCAUUUGCCUAUGAGAAAAUGCCACUUAUGAAUGACACUUGUGUUGUUGGGCAAAUGCCACUGAUCAGUGGCACCGAUCAGUUGACUUGCUGUUGGGCAAGUCCACUGAUCAGUGGCAUCAGCUUUGUUGCAACUGGCACUCAUCACUACACUAUCCUAACCAUGGAAACAUCUAAAAAUAGCAACAACAAGUGCCAAUAGCACCCAUGUGCAGCCAUGCAGAUUUGGCACCAUCCUAAAAUGGUCCUACUACAUGCACGUAUAACAUUCAACACAAACCCUAGCUUGAACAUGUAUGUUAGCAACAUGAAACAUGAACAUGAUCCUAGCUUGAACAUGUAUGUUAGCAACAUGAAACAUGAACAUGAUCCUAGCUUGAACAUGAACAUGCCAUCAGUCAACAUGAUUCUAGCAUUCAUCAGUCAACAAGAACAUGUCGUAAGUAUAACAUUCAUCAGUUAACAUGAACAUGAUUGUAGCAUGAACACAGCUACUAGCAUGAACACAGAUCAUAGGACACAACAGUAGCACAAGAAAAUUAUCCUGCCACACACACAUUGUACAAAACAAGAACAGAUCAGUCCGAUUGGAUUCGAUUGGGAUCGCAUCCAAUCGGAUCUGCUACAAUCCUAUCGAAUCCACUAACUACUAGUAGAUGCCUAAGAAAUAAACCCCUAAUCUACAUCUACAAGCAAGCAUUGAGGGGGUUUGACUCACCGGAGCACGCGCAGCCGCGGCGAACCGAGGCCGGGGUGAAAACCCCGGCGGGAAGGAGAGAGGUGGCGGAGCAGAGGAGGAGACGGUCUUGGCGACGGCCUGCGACAUCGGCCCCGUGCUCAAAGCCACGCCGGAGGUCGAGGAGGACGGCCCGCUGUCGGUGUCAAAACCGGCGGAUCUCGGGUAGGGGGUCCCGAACUGUGCGUCUAAGGCGGAUGGUAACAGGAGGUGGGGGACACAAUGUUUACCCAGGUUCGGGCCCUCUCGAUGGAGGUAAUACCCUACUUCCUGCUUGAUUGAUCUUGAUGAUAUGAGUAUUACAAGAGUUGAUCUACCACGAGAUCGUAGAGGCUAAACCCUAGAAGCUAGCCUAUGAUUAUGAUUGUUGUUGUCCUACGGACUAAACCCUCCGGUUUAUAUAGACACCAGAGGGGGCUAGGGUUACACAGAGUCGGUUACAAGGGAGG